CACACACGCACACAAACGCAACUCUCUUUUGCAAACACUUGGCCAAAAAAGAGAAAAAAAUGUCAGAGAAAGUCUUCCCUUCUUCAAAACCAGCAACCAAUGGCACCGCCACUGCUAACACCACCACCACCGCAAGCAACCCACCAAACGCCACAGCAAACAAAUCCCACCUAUACAACCCUACUUCCCGCCUACCUUACCGUCCACAACCUCACACCCGUCGCCAUCGUAGCCGUAGUGGACGAAACAUCUGCUGUUGUUGCUGUUUCUGGACAAUCCUCACCAUCCUCUUGCUCCUCCUCCUCGCUGCCAUUGCUGGUACUGCUCUUUACAUCCUUUACCGACCUCACCGCCCUACCUUCACCAUCACCUCCCUACGCAUCCACCGUCUUAAUCUCACCACCUCUGCUGACUCCUCCAUUUCCCACCUCUCCACUCUUCUUAACCUCACUAUCAUCUCCGAGAACCCCAAUUCACAUAUCUCACUAGACUAUGAACCCUUCACGGUCUCUGCAUUAUCUGAUGGCAAUGGUGUGUUUCUUGGUAAUGGUUCUUUGCCUGCUUUCAGUUUGAGUAAAAAGAAUCAGACAAGUUUUAGAAAUGUUGUGGUUUCUGGGUCGAACGAUCUUGACGUCGAUGCACUAAAUUCUUUGAGAUCGGAUCUGAAGAAGAAGAAAAGUGCAGAUGGAUCAGUCAUGUUGAAGAUUGAGAUGGAUACAAGGGUGAAAAUGAAGGUGGGUGGAUUAAAGACGAAGGAAGUCGGAAUUAGAGUUACUUGUGAUGGGAUUAAAGGGUCUAUACCGAAAGGUAAAACACCAACAGUUGCUGUUACUACCAAGUCUAAGUGUAAGGUUGAUCUAAGAAUCAAGAUCUGGAGGUGGACCUUCUGAAGUUUUUCAUUCCUCUUUUUUAUGUUUUUGUUUUUGUUUUUCCCUUUCCUUUUUCUUUCUGGUUUUAUAUUUUUUUUGUGGUUUGUAAACUUUCUGAGAAGCAAGAAAGUGCAAAUUAUGGAUUGAGAAAAAAAAAAAGGAUAGAAAAUGUGAGUAGGUGAAUGAGAGUGAAAAAAGGUGUUGAAAUUAAGAAUUCUUGAAAAAUAUUGAAUAUAUUUUGGUGAUUCAAAGUUAAUCUUCUGUCUUCUUGGGUGAUGCAUGCUUAGUAUUUUAGCGUUAAUUGUUACUUCUCUCUCAACUGUAAUAAUCCAUGUUCAUGAUUGAGAUUUACCAGUUUUGUGAACACCUGAGCAAUAAUUUCUGGGAAUUAACCCCUGGAACUGCUCCACAUUUGGAGGCGCAGAUCCCAGAAGAGCAAAAUCGGGUGCUUGUGUUUCUCUUAACCAAGGGAAGGACGCAGGGAUGGGCCAGUGAUGCUGGCAUUUUGGAUUUUUUAGUAACUGUUUUGAUGUCAUUUAAUGUUCUUUUUUAAUUAUAUUUUUCUAUAAAUUUUAAAAAAUAAUAAAAAUAUAUUAUUUUAAUAUAUUUUAAAAAUGAAAAACAGAAGAACCUUAAUGACUUUUCUAAAUACCUUCUUUUUGAUGUGAUGAAUUUAUUUUAAUGUAGUUCGUUUAUUUGGAACCAUGUGGGGAGGUCUCGAUUAAUGCAAGAGCACUGAAAUUAAUGGCAAAAUCACUUUUAAACAUUUUAUGCAAGCAAAUUGUGGAGCUCGCUCUCUAUUUAUUGAUUUUCAUUUCUAACUUUGAUUUGUUUUUCUGGUUGGGAAAUAAUUUUAUAAAAUUUUAAUUUUUAAUUUUUAAUUAUUUUUAAUUAUUUUGAUAUUUUAAUAUUAAAAAUAAAUUUUAAAAAAUAAAAAAAUAUUAUUUUAAUAUUUGAAAAAAAUACUUUGAAAAAAAAAAUACAAUACCAAACGAGAUUCUAAAAUCAUUGCAAUGGAUAUUAUAGAUUUUUUGCAAGCUUUUCGUCCAUAAAUCAUAAAUGUGAUAUUGUGACCUAUGCAUCGCAAAGGUAGAGUAGAAAAUUAAAUUGAAAUUUAGAAAAGAUCCAAGGCAUAAAAUAAUGAAGUUGCACGGGACAAUCCAAGUUGAGGGGCAAGAAGGACGAGGAGGCAUUAACUCUUUAAAAAGAAUGAGAGAAGACGGUAACUUCUUAGCAAGUUUCAUUUAUUAUUAUUAUUAUUAUUAAAAUAGAUGAUCGAGCCAGUUUGCGUGUAUCUUAAUUAAUUUUACAGAUUCUGAAAUUAAUGACAAUAUAAGUUUCUAGUGAUCCUAAAAUUUAUAGGACUCGAACUGGUAAUCUUUAAAAAAUAAAUUCAUGAUCUGAUCAGUUAAGUUACACUCCUAUAAAUUAUAAAUUUCAUUGUUUCUUCGCUAGAUUGAUGUGAGAUAUAGGUCCAAUUCAUUCAAUGCAACUUAUUUUCCAUGUUGGACAUGGUACUCCUACUACCACUCUCCUCUUUAUAUAUAUCGUAGUUGACCCGUCUUUUCCCUGCGUUUCAACCAAGAGUUCGAUUGCCAAUUUCCCAAGUAGGAAGGAGAAGAACAAGCGAAAGAAAGAGUCAAAACAUGGAGCACAAAUUGCUUGAUAGAUAGAUAUCAUAAAAAUAAAAAUAAAAAGUUACUUUCUGAAAUUAAGGAGGAAUAAGGUCUUCAUUCAGUUUAGAUUGAACUUAACUUGCACUAUUGUUAAGCACUCAAGGAACUAUUAAUUUCGUGCAACUAUGAUGCUAUUUGUUUUUUUUUUUUUCCUCUUAGGGCAUCUCCUACGUAGGAUGUAAAAGAGAAGCCAAACCCAAAAAAACUGUUCUUUUAGCUUUUUUUUCUUCUCAAUUAGCAGCUCCAAUGGGAAUAGUAAAAAUAUCUCUCUUUCCCAUAAAAAUUAUUCUUACAAAUUUCUUUAAAAAACUAAAACCAACAAGCCAAUAAAAAAAAUAAACAAAUUAAGUGAAGGCAUGUGAAAAGAAAAUGAUUUUAAAUUCUUUGAAGAACAAGUAAAGCAUUUCCUUGUCUUUCUCCACUACAAUUGGUUUUUCAAAUGACUUUUUUUGUUCUAUUGAAGUAUAAGAGAAGAAAAAAAAAAGCUAUAUUUAUAUUAUUUAAAAUGUUAUAUUAAUAUUUUGGCACUUUAAGAUAUCAUCUUGCCUUGGAGAUGCUUUUACAAUGACAUACUAAAAUUAAAAUUUUCUUUCUUGGGAUAUAGCACACCUAAACUAAUAUAUUUAUGAAAAAAAAUUCUUUCAUGUUCUUUUUUUUUAAUUCAAUUCAAACCAAGAACAAAACCACUUACAAAAAUUCAUCAGGUUUCCAAGAAUUGCAAUGUUAUUUCAUAAAUGUACCUAUAAGCUAGCUUAGUUGGUUGCAAACUUUUUUCCCACUCAACAACUCUUGUUGUUUUAUUAAUCUUUAUAAGGUGUUUUUUUUUAAAAAAAAAAACAUUGCAUAAAUACAAUUCCCUUAAUGGGGCACAAUUUACCCCAAUUGCCAACAACAUUAGGAUUAGUGACAAGUCUCAGCCCCUUGCACCGUGCGAAUUUCCUUAAGUUAUUGGCACAUAUACCACAAUGUAACAGUUGCUACCCCUAUCACAUAAUGGAUAUAUUUUUCAACUUAUCUCUUUUUUUAGUAUGACCUAUUUUCUUCACCUAUAAAGCCAUCAUUUUUUAUGCCAAUAACUAUCUCCCUCACCUUGUCUCUUCUGAGAUGCCUACUCUCUCGCUAAUGGUUAUACCUUGACUUGUUUCACUCUUAAACCUUUCUACUAAUAACAAGUAAGGCACAACAACUAAAAACUUAUAUAUAUCCAUAUGACCCGAGGUAAUGAUUCUUCGUCAUUUCCCCCCUUUCACAAGGUAAACUCAUAUGACCUAAGGUAGGGGGGCAUAAGGUUACAUGAGACCAUUUAUUACUCUCCUUUGUUCUACAUACCUCAUCAUCAUACACAUACUUCUCAUAUCAUAUAUUUACUAAUUUAAGCAUUAAAUGGUCUCUUAUUUCGACAAGGAAUUUAUUUUGCAGGAAAGCUCAUGGAAAAAUCUAAUCACUCCACCAAUCUAAGAUUAGAGCCAUGAGAAGCCCAAUCCAAUUUAAGGUUUUCAUGACUUCAUUUGUAGCUCUAGCUAGUUCAUUUCAAUUUCACAUCCAUUACAAAAAAAUCUUGUUAUCUUUUGUUUUAAUAUAUAAGAAUAACUUUACACUUUUCCAUUCUUAGAAUGGGAAACACAAUGGUUAGCUCUAUUACCUACACCACUAAGUGCACAUAGACAACUCCAAAUUAUCUAAGAGAACAUAAUAGAACAAUGUGCAAAGUAAGCACAAGAACAUUUGUACUCUAACUCUAUGAAGGAGUCGCUCAUACUAUAAAGAGCAUUCCUCAACAAGCCCUAGCUAAAAAAGUGGCUAUCAUCAUCAAUUAUUUUAUAAAUGUUGCUCACAUGCUCCUCAUUGAAAAAAACUAGAUGCGAGAUGAGAUCAAUAAUUGCAUGAGCUUCUAAGAAUAAACACCAAGUAGAAAAUGCUCCGCUUUAUCAUCAAGUAUUACACGUUUAUCUCUUCGAAGGUUGAGUCUUCGUGAAGGCCAUCUUAGACAAUUACAAAGAUCUUACAAACCUAAAAGAGCACGUAUAGAACUUGGAAAGCAUCCUAGAACUUAUAACACAAAAAAGUGAUGUUAUGUGUAAAAUUCUCCUGACAACAUUCCAUGGAUUUAUUUAGGUUUGGUAUCACAACCUUUAGCCUAACUCCAUCAUUAGUCUGUAUGAUCUAUGUGUUAAGUUUAUCUCCUAUUUCAACACUAAUAUCCCAACUGAAAAGAACACCAUUAAACUCUUUAUUAUAAAUACAAUGGGAAUAUGAGAGUACUAGAGCAAUAUCCAAGGGUUUAAUGAGGAAAUGCUCAAUAUAAAGAAUCUACUCGAACAUGUUAUCACUAAAGCUCUAAACACUAGAGUCUAUAACUACUUUUUAUGAGAACAAUUGAAUACUCUCCAUUACUGAACACUCCUCAAUGUGAAACAAGUGAUAGAAAACCACGUUUGAGUAAAGAAAGUAAGUGUGACUAGACAAAAACACCUUUGUUUCCAGUCAUGAAUAACAAAAUCUCUUCAACAUCAUUAAUAUCAUACUAAGGCAUUCAAUAGGAGAACCGAAUGAUCUAUUUAUGACUGCCUAACAUUCUGUAAGCUCAUGGCCACACCUCUAACCACCACACAUGCUGAGGUAUUGGUUGUUAAUUAGUAAGGGAAAAGAAUUCCUAUGAUACCCAUAUUACAUAAAGAGUGGCACGAACACAAGAACUUUAAUAACUUUUUCACUUUCAUCACGACCACAAUCAUGAUACUAAGGAAUGUCAUGCCCUGAAAAAGAAGAUAGAAAUAUUAAUGGCUAAGGGUCACCUCCAAUAAUUUCCGAUGAAUGAAAUGCAACCUGAAUAAAUAGGGAAAGAUCUUUAUGAUGCAUUAAAUAAGAUCAAAUAAUCUUUAAUAAAAUCUUUAAUAAUCUUUAAUAUAAUCUUUAAUAAUCUUUAAUCUCCAAACUAAUUCUCCAUGCCUCCAAAUAGGUUUUCAUGUCUCUAAUAAAAUCUCUAUAAUGAGAUCUCCAUGUCUCCAAGAGAAAUCUUAACGUCUCCAUGCAAUAUCUCCUUAUAUAAUGUUUUAACACUACUUUCACACAAAACAUUCUUCAUUUUCUACGUAAUAAUAUUAUGUACUAUCUCUCUUAUUGGCAUCAAACUCAUCAAACUUCCAUCUCUUUUAUUCGCAAAUUAACAAAAUUAAUAAGAAAGCACAUUAUCAAAAACCAUGAGAAGGUAAAAUCACAUGUAUAAAAUAAUAAGUAUUUUCUUACUUCUAUUAGUCAAGUCUUUCAAACAUGAACAAUUUAAAUGACAUGGAGGCAAAUAAUAGUGCCAAAAAAUCAAGUAGGAAAAAAAGGGUCCAAGCAGUAAGAUAAGAAACACUCCUACCGCUUAGGCCAAACUCGAAUAAUAAGAGAAGAAAAACGCAGACAAAGCUCCUAGCACUCGAGCUAGGCCCAAGCAACAGGAGAAGAAAAACCCUUUUACUAAUAAGCCAAAAAUAACAAAAAAAAAAUAUCUUUGCCAAACAAGGAUUUUGCAUGACAAGUCCUUGCACCUUGCAAAUUCCCAAAAGUCAAUGGCAUAUACUACAAUGCAACAUUUGUUAGCCUUUUCACCCAAUGGAUAUUUCCCUCAAUAGUUACUUUACUAACUUAAGUAUUAUAAAGUCCCUUGUUUUGACAUGAGACUUGUUUUACAAAAAAGCUCAUAGACCAAACAGUCAAAGAUUCAUUUUUUAGGGUUUUUGUUAUUGUUUUGCUAUUUUUGGUUUUUUCUGAAAAUUUAUCAAAAACAUGGUUCAAAAAAUGGGUAGCAACAAAGAAGAGGAAGAUUUAAAAGAAAAUGACGAGGAGGUCGAGAAAGCCUCAACAGAUCAAAUGGUCGACCGAAUAAAAGGAACCGAUCAAUCGGUUUAACUGGCAGUAGCAAUUUGAGAUCCAGAAGUUAAAUGCUAUAAUUAUCAAAAGACAGGUCAUUAUGCUAGGGAUUGCUGGAGUCCAACCAAUAGGGUUGAGGAGAAUGUAAAUCUUGUGAUAGAAAAAGAAAAGGAAGUCACUCUACUACUAGUGCAUGAUGAGAGAAUGGAAGACAAAGAGAACAUGUGGUACCUAGACAACGAAGCUAGUAACCACAUGUGUGGAAACAAAGACAAGUUCAUGGAGUUUGAUGAAGUAAUUAGAGGUAAUGUCACCUUUGUAGAUCAUUCAAAGGUUGCCAUCAAAGGAAAAAAGGUACGGUUUUAAUUAAAUUAAAAGAUAGAAGUCAUUAAUUUAUUGGUGAUGUCUAUUAUAUACCAACGAUGAAAAGCAAUAUAUUGAGCUUAGGAUAAUUGUUGGAGAAGAGGUAUGUGAUUAAAAUGAAAGAUCAUAUUUUGACAUUACUUGACAUUAAAGAUGAUAUGAUUGCAAAGGUAGCCAUGACAAAGAAUAUAAUGUUCUUGUUAAAUAUAGAGAUGAAUGUGCCUAAAUGCCUAAAUGCAUGUGUGAAAGAUGAAACUUGGCUUUGGCAUAUGAGAUUUGAGCAUGUAAACUUUGAUAGCUUGAAGAUGAUGGCACAAAAGAAGAUGUUGAAGGGUCUACCAUCCAUUAUACAUCCAAAUCAGUUGUGUGAAGGAUGUUUAGUGGGCAAGCAAUUUCACAAGAUUUUUUUGAAGGAGUCUACAUCAAGAGUAAAUCAACCCCUACAAGAACUACAUGUCGAUGUUUGUGGUUCUAUCAAACCAUGUUUGUUUAGUAAAAUUUAUAUUUUUUACUUUUUAUUGAUGAUUAUAGUAGAAAGACUUGGGUACACUUCUUAAAAGAAAAGUCUAAUGUGUUUAGUUGUUCUAAGAAAUUUAAGGUAUUAGUUGAAAAAGAAAGUGGUUAUUCUAUAAAAUCACUUAGGACAGUUAGGGGGUGAAUUUUGUUCUAAUGAUUUUAAUGAGUUUUGUAAAGAUAUGGUAUAAAGAGAAUCUUAACAGUACCUAGAUCCCUACAACAAAAUGACGUGGUGGAGAGAAAGAAUAGAAAUAUCCUUAACAUGGCGAGAAGCAUGCUCAAAACCAAGAAAAUGCCUAAAGAUUUUUGGGUUGAUGCUAUAAAUUAUGUUAUCUACUCGUCAAAUAGAUGUCCCACUAAAAGCUUGAAUGACAUGACUCCACAAGAAGCAUAGAUUAGAAGAAAACCAAGUGUCUCUCACUUGAAAGCUUUUGGGAGCAUUGAUUACGUGCAUGUAAUGAUCAAGUAAAGACCAAACUAGAUGACAAAAGUAAAAAGAUGAUCUUUGUGGGCUACGACCAAAAGUCUAAAGGAUACAAGCUUUACAACUCUAAUGAAGGAAAGAUGGUGAUUAGUAGAGAUGUUGAGUUCAAUGAAGAAGGAGCAUGAGAUUGAAAGAUAAAUGAUGGUGAAAAAUAUGACUUCUUACUAAUUCUUGAUGAAAAGGAGGAAAGAUAUGAAGAUCAUCAAGAACAUAUAGUCACACCUCCAAAAACACCAAUGAGCUUAACUUCUUCUUCUUCUUCUAAUGAAAGCUCAAGUAGUGGCACUCCACCAAGUCCACCAAAAAAGAUGAGGAGCUUUGAUGACUUAUAUGAGGUAACUAAUCCUAUUGAUGAUGUAACACUAUAUUAUCAUCUUGCUAUAUGUGAUACUAUAGUGUUUGAAGAAAAUAAAGGGUGCAAAAUGAAGAAUUACUAUGGAUGGGGAGUUACAUAAAUUAAGAAGAAUGACACAUGGAGAUUGAUUCCUAGACCAAAUGAAAAGAAGCCAAUAUGUAUCAAGUCGAUCUACAAAGGAAAGAAGAAUGUCAAAGGAGAGGUUAAGAGAUACACGACACGAUUAGUGGCAAAAGACUAUAGUCAAAAGCAUGAGAUUGACUAUGAAGAGGUUUUUGCUCCUGUUGCUAGAUUGGAGACCAUUCGAUUAAUCAUUGCCACCGCUGCCUAACAUAGAUGGAGAAUCUAUCAAAUGGAUGUCAAAUCAACAUUUUUUGAAGACAAGGUUUACAUUGAGCAACUUGUAGGAUAUGAAGUGAAAUGACAUGAAGAUAAGGUUUUAAAGUUAAAUAAAGCCUUGUAUAGAUUGAAGCAAGCUCCAAGGGCUUGGUAUAGUCGCAUUGAUGUCUAUUUCAUAAAGAAUGGAUUUGUUAAGUGUCUCAUGAAUAUACUAUCUAUGUAAAUAUCAAAUAGAAUGGUGAUACACUUAUUGUAUGUUUGUAUGUGGAUGACUUAAUCUUUAUAGAAAAUAAUUCAAAGAUGUUUGGAGACUUAGAGCAAGCAAUGAUCAAGGAGUUUGAGAUGAUGGAUAUUGGUCUCAUGUCCUACUACUAAGGGAUUGUGAUCAAACAAGGAGAAGAUGAAAUCUUUGUGAAUUAAGAGAAGUUUGCAGGGGAGAUUCUCAAGAAAUUCAAAAUGAAGGAUUGUGCAAAGGAUUGUUCAAAAUGAAGAUGUCAAAGAAUGAUAAAGGGGGGAAGAUAAACUCUACAACAUUUAAGAGCUUAGUUAUGAGUUUGAGAUAUUUGACAUGCACUCGUCUAUAUAUUCUUUAUGAAGUAGGACUUGUGAGUAGGUUUAUGGAGACAUCAACUAUGACUCACGUCAAAGCCUUGAAAUGAAUUCUACGAUACAUCAAAGGUACCAUAGAUUUUGGCUUAUUCUAUGGUUAUUCUACUAGUUUUGAUCUUGUGGGUUAUAGUGAUAGUGAUUGGGCUGGAGAUAUAGAUGAUAGAAAGAGCACUACAAGUUCUUUUUUUUUACAUGGAAGACACAGUUUUCACAUGGAAUUCAAAGAAGCAAUUUAUUAUCACAUUAUCUACUUGUGAAGCUGAAUAUAUAGCUACCACAACAUGUAUUUGUCAUUCCAUAUGGCUAAGAAGAUUAUUAUAGUUGCGAAUGUCACAAGAGAAGCCUACAAAGAUUUAUAUAGACAACUCAUCAGCCAUUACAUUAGCUAAAGAUCUAGUUUUUCAUAACAAAUAAGCCAUUUUACAUUGUGGUGAACCGUUAGCAUUGGAUUGUUUUCAUCGACGGUGGAGAGUGAGCCAGCAAAAUCAGGUGAUGUAGGAAAGAAGAAUGGAAAGAAAAAGGGAGUGAGUGAUUGGGUGGUGUUACUCGGUGGCUAUUUUGGCAGCUCUCGUGACCAUCACGUGCUGUUGUUACUAUGAAAAAAGACAAAAUAAUGAGGCCCGCGAAGGAAAAGUUGGGUCAGCCAAUUCAAUUAGUGGAUUUUAUAUACAAGUUUUUAUAUAUAUAUAUAUAUAUAUAUAUAUAUAUAUAUAUAUAUAUAUAUAUAUAUAUAUAUAUAUAUGGUGGCAAAGAUAAAAUUGAAAGAGACCAAAUGCAAGUGUCACUGUGUUAUAUGCACACACAAAUGCACUAAGGGUUAUUGCAAGUGUCAUUUUAUUAUCAACAAUAUUUUUAAUAUUAAUUUCAACCAAACUAAAUAUUUUUUAUUCAUUUUCAUUUAAUAUCAACUUUAAUAAUAAUUUUAAUUAAAUAUAUAUUUUAAUCCAACUAAAACUAUUUUAUUUAAAUCUAUAUUUUUUAAAUUAUAAUCACAAAAGUUAAAUACACACUGAAACAUUUUCAAGCAUUGUUAGAUUAAAAGCUUACUAUGAUUCUAAUGAGUUAGCUUUUGGUCUCUGAUUUUCAACUAAAUGGAAGCUUACACUCUCUCUUGCAUGGUUAGUAUUUCUGAAGCUGGUCUCUACCAACUCCAGCAUGCCUCAUCUAUCUCAAACAACGCUUAUAAAGCAACAGCACUAAUGUCCAACAACCAGAAUAAUGUUAGCCAAAGAAGGUGCACCCAAAAAUGCGAUGUUUAUAGCUCUGGGGUUAUUUUGCUCGAGAUAUUGACAGGGAAAAUGCCAAACGGAGAGAAAUAAAAGUUUAGUGAAGUGGGCUCAAAGAGUGGCAAGAGAAGAGUGGACUUGGGAGGUCUUUGAUUUUGAGUUGUUGAGGUAUAAUAUAUGAAGGGGGAGAUGGUAGGUCUCAUGCAAGUGGCUUUGCUUUGCUUGGCUCCAUCGCCAAGAGACCGUCCAAAGAUGAGCACGGUGCAUACGAUGAUUGAAGAUAUUAGGACAAAGGGUGGUGACCGGAAUUCUAUUAUCUAUCAGAAAGCACCAUCAAUUUCACCAGUGGGAGUUGAUUGCUUUAUAGAAGAGAAGUGGCAGCUGUUGUGUUUGCAUAAUUAGCAGAAAGGGAGCUGGGAUUUGAGAUAGUAAACCAUGGCCUGGGCUAUUGGCAAGUUCUGUUAGAACAAUAACAUGUAGAUAUCAUCUAGUUUUCAUGGUAGCAUGUUCUGAAUGAUGGAAAUUAUACAGUAUAUAUGUAUAAAUGCAUGAUUUCAAGCACUAACAAAGUAGCAGCAGAAAAUUUCUUGUUAGCAAUUAGAAUGCCAGCAGAAAUGUAGGCAAUUGGGAUCUUGUCGUUCUUAGCGACUCUGAAGCUGUUUGACAUUUAACACCAGUAUUUUUUGAAACAGAGGAUUGAAACUAUUGGCACGGUACUGGUUGUUGUUGGGUGCACAGAAUGGUCAGUUGGUCCUGAGCCAAAAAAACGGGCCGUACAUCUUCCAGGUGAAAAAUCCAUUCAAAGAAGGUCAUGUUUGUUUGCUUGGUAGUCCUGGGACAGGAUUUCAAUGUUAAUGCUAUCUUACUCGGACUAUACAGGCUUGAAUGAGCUUUUAAGAGGUCAUGAACAACAAACACAAUGCAACAAAACUAGAAGGUGAUGUGAGAAGAUGUUAACUUGUGGCUAUGAAUGCAAGACAAAUCCAAAAAGAAAGGCCACAAAAUCACAUGGUUUUGACCAACUUGCAUGGAUGCUUCUUCAUGUGGAGCCAAUUUUUCCGUCGAUCAACGGGUUGGCAUUGGGGUCCAGAAUUCAGGUGGCUCCAAGUAGAAAUGGAAAAGAGGGAGAUGGCUUUAUUCACAGGAUCGGUCGGUCCAUCAUAAUCUUUCAAAUGGCUAGCAUUUCUUUCAGCUUUUAAGCAGCUACCUAAACCUCUCCUUACCUUUGCAGGACUCUGAAUUGAUAAAUCCAACAACCAUCGAUAGCCAUUACUUGAUGUUUUCAACUGUACCCAAUAUAUACAAAUCAUGAAAAAAAAUCAUGGGCUGCAGCCUAAACAGCGAAUACCUUGAGUACUGUGGAUAUUAACUACAAUUCACCUUGUGAAACAAACUUUCAAACGAGGCAGGACUUCAUAUCAAAGUUAACUCCACUUUCAUAUACAGAAAAUGAUCCCCAUCAAAAGUGAACUUCCAGCAGGGUGCGGAUUUACAGGAGCAACAGAAAUUUAAGAUUGUGCUAUUCAAUGGCAUUGCUAAACUCAAAUGACUAAAUGAGACAUAAUCACAGAAGGCACGAAACAGUGGAAUUCUCUCCUACCAACGUAAAAAAAGAAGCUAAGUUGUGUAAUGCAAAUCUAUCAAACAUGUCACUGUAUGAAUUUCCUGCUGGCACGUGUCUCCUCUCGGUAUAUAACAAUCAAAAUUAUAAGAAACCUGAGCAGAGCUACUGCAACAGUUUUCAGUCUAAUCUUUGUCAUUUAUCAGUUUUCCGAGAAAAUACCAUGGUAUCAUCCUUUAGAUUGUCCACUGCUCGUGUUGGCAUGAUUUUCCAUCGUGUUUUAAUCCUCUAUGGAACUGAAAACAGAACAAAACAAAACUUGCAUCAGUAAUAACAGCAUAUCACAUUGGUAAGAAGACGCUGAUUACCACUAGAGUGAAGCAUCUUCUUUUUACAGUGCAAAUACAUGCUAUACUGAUUGUCCACUCCUAUACUGAUUAUCACAUUUCCUUGAGAGUCUCUCUCGGUCAACCAGGGACCUAAAGCCCAAACUACACAACAAAAGUAGUGAGGCAGGCCACUCUGUAGCAAGACAAUGCUCAAGCGGCCCUUUGAGGCCUCGGAAAAUAAAACAAGGUCCAAGAAAUUUUGCACUUGCUAUCCAAAAACAUGAAUGAAUGAAAUGAUAUUAUUUGCAUAAUAUGUGAAAGCAAAAACUUGAGCUAUCCUAUUCUUUUUGAUGCAACACAAUUGUAAACUUGUAGGAAUACUUGUCACUAACACCUACUAUCCCAAGUCCAAACCAAUUGUUGAUGGAAACCAUCUGCAGAGGAAUCAGUCUUAAUCCUUACUAUCUCAGUAGUAUUUACUCAUGCAUUUGGUAAUGUGUGAAAUAAAACGAAAAACCAGAUAUAAUCUCAUUUGAAGUUAAUCUGGGUGAUUCAAAGCAACAUUCUACAGGCAAAACAUUAAUUUGUGGCUCUUUAAGUAAUCAUAACUGACACAAUCACUCAUAUUUGCUCCACAGUGAAAUGAAUGCAUGGCCUCAGACUUUGCAAAACAACGUAAUUAUCUAGUCUUACAUGCACAAACACAAAUUAAGAAGACAACAGUAUUUAUUUAUUUUUGAAUAAUUUACUCUAUUAUCUAAUUACCCUCAUCAAUUUUAAUUUGGGUUUCAACUCUUUUAACAUUACAAAAACACAAUUCUUUCUUGUUAAUUGUUUGACACUUUUAACUGUUAUGCUUAUAUAUCACCAAUUAACUCUUGACAUUGACUAAUAAAAACAGUAAGAAUUAAUUAUAUGCAUGCACUAAUCAAGAAUAUCAAAAACCGUCAUCGCUCACAUCCUGAAGUGGUUGCUUCCCAUGUGCUUUUGAAGAGGAUGGUGAUGAUGAUGAACGCCUUUCAGGCUUAACAGCAGGCUGGCCAAUAGAGAGAGAAAUCCCUUGAUGAACACCAUCAAACAGUUUAGUUUCUUGAGCAAAACUGGAUUCUUGAAGUUGCUGAGGGUUCUGAAGAUUCUCAUACAAAAAGUUACAAUCUUGAUUAAGAGAUUGUACAAUAUUAGCACUACUGUUUUCUUGAAGAAAGUCCACAAAGCCUACAUUAUCAACAACAUUUUGGUCUCCAAGUUGUUGUUGCAGGGUAUGAAAGCAGGCCACUUGAGCUUGCACAAACUCAAGUUCAACCUUGACAGCGUUAAUAUUCUGCAGCAAUCUUGAAAUGAUGCCAGUACAACCACUAACAGGAUCUCUAACUCGAGCAUUAGCUUCAUAAACCAUUGAUGUAAUAGACUCAGGUUUCUGUUCGGGGAUUAUUUUCUUGAGGUUGUUGACAAUAUUAUGUACCCCAAAAAGCUUGUGAGCAGCCUCAAAAUCUUUUGCUUUCUCAUGAGGAAAAAACGGAGCCAGAGGGCAAUCUGGUCUACAUCUCCUACGUUGAUGCCUACAAGCUGCACAAGCAGGCGGUUUCAUGAGCUAAGAUCCCGGCAGCUUUAGAUGAGAGAGAGAUUAACGGGUGUGAAGGAGAAAAAGAAGGAAGAGAGGGUGAGAGAGGGGGGGGGGGGGACUAGGGCUUAACUGACGUACACAAUGAUUUAUAAAGAUAGAGGGACGUGGCGUGGUGUACGUGUGCUACAGUUUUUGUAUUUUGAAUGAAAUUUAUAUUUUUGGUUAUCUUGAUUUUCUUUCUCUGUGUUUGUUUUCUUGCUUGCUUUGCGCAACAAGCUUGGAAAUCUUGAAAACAGUGCUCAAUUUGUGUUCAAAAUACCCUAUCUCCAACAACGCAUAUAUCAAUUUUUUGAAUCAUAGAAGUGUUGCCGGGAUCGAAUUGCUUCUUCGGAAGUAUUCGAGAUUAUAGUAGCGAUGAUGGUUUAAAGUGUUUUUCAUUUAAAAAUAUAUUAAAAUAAUUUUUUUUAAUUUUUAAAAAUUAUUACACUCCUUACAUUGCCGCAUUUUAUUCCUUUCCCUUCAGAACUGGAAGCGCUAAAACUCAUACAUUUUGUCCAUCCCAUGUAUUAACUUUAAUUUAUGUUCCAACUAGCAGCGUUCAUAACUACUGUUCAAAACAAUUCAGAUGUUGCGUGGUGUUAUAAUGGUAAUUUUUUAAAGUUUUUUUUAGAAAUAUAUUAAAAUAAUAUUUUAAAAAUAUAUAUUUUUAAUAUUAAUAUGUCAAAAUAAUUCAAAAAUAUAAAAAAAUUAAAUUUAAAUAAUUUUUUUUAAAAUUUUAACCAAUCUCUAAUUAAACGCGGCCGCAAUGUUGUGGGGAGCUGUUUGUUGCCAAAUCCAUCGCUUGUUGUCAUGUCGUAGGCCACAUAAGCAGAUAUAUGGAUAAAUGCCAGCUCAUCGAUGAUGGACCUGCCAACGUGAAAGUAUGCAACUGGUGUGUUGUGUAUAGUGAAUUAGUUUAAGCAUUUUAAACCAAAUUUGUGCCUUUCAAAUAAUUUUGGCAGUGUAGUUACAGAUACUUUUCAAAUAAUUUUUUGUAUUAAAAUGCAUGCUAAUAAUAUUUUUUUAUUUUUAAAAAAUUAUUUUUGACAUCAGCACAUCAAAACGAUCCAAAACAUACAAACUAUAUUAAAUUUUAAUAAAAAAAAAUUUAAAUUUUUUAGGAACGUAGCCGUAUUCCCAAACGUUCACUUAUUAUUGUUGUUGUCAAUGUUAUUUUCAUUCUAAUUCUAGGCAUUCAAAAAGAAAGAUUUACUAAUUCUUUAGGCAGUUCAUUAAAUUACGCAUGUGGGAUAACACUACAUUUUUUAAUUUUUUUCAUGUUAGAAAAGGGAGCCCAAGACCUCCAGAAAAAACUAAACAGGGUACAUACCCUCACCACAUCUUCGAGAUGUAGAGGGUAUUUUAGAAUGUGACACAUCUUUCGAAUAUAAAGGGUAUUUGAAAAUAUGAUAGUUGUUGUUUUUUAAAAUGUUUUUCAUUCCAAAACACAUUAAAAUAAUGUUUUUUUAUUUUUUAAAAAUGAUUUUUGACAUUAGCGUAUCAAAAUAAUCUGAAAACAUAAAAAACAUAUUAAUUUAAAGUAAAAAAAUACAAAAUUUUCAAUUUCUUUCAAAAACGCUUCCAAAAUAUAGUGCCAAACAAGCACUGCCGAAACAAUGCCUAUCCAAAAAAACAAAAAAACAGCACACAUCAACUUCCUAGUUAACAAACAAUAAAAUAUGUGAUGAAAUUGUUUAUCAUUCACCUAGGGCUUAACAUAUUCGAUCCGGUCCGGUUUUAGACCAAAAUAAACAACCAAACUAAUUUAUUUUUUUUAAGUUUUUGAACUGAACCGAACCGAAUACCGGUUCCAACCGAUUAAUUUCGGUUCGGUUCGGUUUUUUUCCCUUCCAAACCGGUUCAAACCGAAAUUAUUACGGUUGAGUUUUUUCUGGGCUUUUUAUUAACCACAUUUUUCAGCACUUUUAUUUUUGUACUUGCUUCCAUUUUCCAGAAAAUCAACUCCAAUUUUCAUUUUGAUCUCCUUGUCCAGAAGUUAAACCUAGCAAAAUAAUACACAAAAGGAAAGGAAAGGAAAGGAAAGAAAAGAAGUAAUUUGACUGCAAAAAAACAAAGAGAAAAUUAAAAGUUAUUGAAAUGUAAAAUCAUCAAAGAGCAUGGAGGAGAAGAAGACAAAUUUGAGAGAUGAGAGACAAGAAAAACAUUGAUAGGAUGUGAUACAGAAACUGUUGAGAGUGUAAAGUAUUUAGAUCUUGGUUUCUCUGAAAUCCUAAGAGAACCCUUUCAUGGUAAGCAAAACAAGUGUGGGGUUGUUUGGUGGUAGCUGUGUUGGCAUUGAUUCAAGGAAACUAGUAGUAGGCUCUCCUUAUUGUAUGAUGGCCUCCAAUUCGUCAAUGGAAUCUUGGUCCCAUGUAAUCUAAUAGUUAGGAUUCAUCACUAAUUGAUUUGAAGCUAGGGAGAUUGGUUGAUUGCAAAGAUGCACAGAAUAAUAGGUUUUCGAAAGAGAGAUUUUUGCUAUAUGAGGAGAAGAAGACAGAUUUAAGAGAUGAGAGACAAAGAGCAAGGAGAGGGGGUGGCUGAGAAUGCUGAAGUUUAGGGUUAGAAGAAAAUAUGCUAUUAUACUUGUUUUAGAGGGAGGGGGCGGCUGUAUGAACUGUGAAGUGUGAAUGAAAUUAGUCUGCUAGGGUUAAUGGGUAGAAAGCGUUUUUUUAUUUCUAAACCGAACCGGUUCGGUUCGGUUCGGGUUGUCCGGUUUAAGCAUUACAAAACCGGAAACCGAACCGGACAUUUUUCUAAAUAUUCUAAUCGGUUUAAUCGAUUUUUUUCAAGGUUCAGUUUUUACAGUUAAUUUUUUUCGGUUUUCUCGAUUAAAUUGAUUAUUCAAUUUUUGUUAUCACCCUUACAUUCACCUACAUAUAGAGCACUGUAAAUUACGACAAUACUCUUCUUUUCUUUUCUUUUCUUUUUUUGCCUCAACUUUUGUUUUCAUAAUUACACUUUUAUAGGCAUAAAUUAAAGGAUAAUUUAGACAAAUUUUUCAAGAAAUAACAAGAUUGAAAGAUACAAAGUCAAAGUGAAAAAGACAAAAUAAAAUAAAAUGAGUGACGGUCUUAAAUUAUUUGAGGUAAAAAAUUCACUUUAUCCCUUUUGCUUUUUAAAUGAUAACUUUUUGGUUACUCAAUAUUUAAAAAACUCGAUUUUGGUAUAAUAUUUUUAUAUUAUUAUUUCUUAGUCUCUAGCUUGAGAAAGGAAACAAAUAGCUAUUCCUUAACCAAAAGUUGUUGACAUUAACACUAUCCUUUUUUUUUUCAUAUGUGUAUUGAUAUCCAAAAUAAACAAAAAGAUAUUGUAUAUUUUUAUUACUAGGUCAUUGGAAUGCACUACGUUAUGGGUUAAAUUAAUUUUUUUUAAUAUAAAAAAAGUUAGGUAUUUGCUAACAUGUUUUUUAGUAGAAAAAAAAUUAAACUUGUGGGAGUUAACCUUAUAUGACCCACUCAACUUGGUGAGUUUAAAGACAACUUGGAUAACCAGAAAAAAUAACAACGAAAAUAGACUCUCACACAAAAUCAAGAGUUAAGAAAAUGAAAAAAUAUUUAUUUGAAACCAUAAUAAUUUAAUGAAAAGCAAAACAAAACAACUCAUGAAGAUCUAUUUAAAAUAAGCCAAAUAUUGAACAAUAAAAUAGAAAAUAUAUAUAUAUAAAAAAACAAAAUCAAAUGAUGAAAUUAAGAAAAAAAAUAUACCAAAAAAGCCUAGGCAUGCGAGUCUGAGUGGCCCAUCUCUUUCAGGCCUUAAUAAAAAAAGACUAGGUGCACGAGUCUGUCAGCCCCGCCUGCGCGCCUAGGCUUUGGUAAAAAAAAAAUUAAAACAAACAACAUGUUGCCUGCUAUCUACUCACAGGAAAUCAGGGCGUGGGUGUUUUACACCUAAAUUUUUAUUUCUAAACCAUAAUUUGACCCAUAAACACCAUAAAGAUUUAAAUAAACUUGUUUAUACAUUCAAAUAACCUAAAAAAUGGACCAAGAAAAAAAAAAUAAACCUGAAUUCCAAAACUUCCCAAGGUCAUAUCUAUUUUCCCAACCAAUUUAAAGAUGAAAAAUAUUCAAGUGGAACUCCUCUCUUAACCCCAAGUUUAACUUUUUUAGUGGUUAGAUUCUGUAUAACCUGAUAUUUUCUCUCACCAUUACCACUAUCAUAAUUCAUAAACUCUCUCUCCUCUUUUAAAUUAAAAAAAAAAAGUUUUAUGUCAAAAUUAAAAUUUUAAAAUUUAUAGGUAUUGAAAAGUUUUUAUUUGAGAAGUAGAAGGUUCAAAGUGAAUGUUCCGCAACAACUUUUAAAUUGUAAUCCAUUUUUCUUAUAUUUUUUUUAUUUUAGUCCUCUAUUUUUUUUAAUUUGUCCCUUUCUUAGCAAAUAAAAAACAAUUAGCUAUCAAUUUAUCCACAAAAAGAUAAUUUCGAUGUAGAAAUCAUCUAUGCCUUUUAGUUCCGGAUCCAUUAAAGUCCUUUUUAGACCAGUUUUUAUAUAUAUAUAUAUAUAUAUAUAUUGUUCUGUUGCAAUGUGGUAAUGGAUUUCUUGACAAGAGUAGUCAUAGCUCGACUAGAAUAGAUCAAGAGGCCGAUGUUUGAGACAAAAACCAUGGAGCAAGAUGAUAGAAAUUUUGAGAAUUGCUUAUUAGGCUUAGAAGGCCCCUGGACCGAAUGAGUGGGUGAAUAUAUGUUGACAGUUUCUCUUGUUUAGCUUAGCUAAACAUGAAGUAGAGUUUUUCUAGCAUUAGGCUAUUUUCUUUCCUUAUAUAAAAUAGACUAGGAGUUAAGGUCUUGAUGAAUGAUUUUCUUGUUUAGGGCUGCUUUUUUGUUUUUUACGACAAGAAUAGGGCUGAAAAGUAUUAUUUAAGGAACAUAUCUCUUUGUAAUUUAUCAACAUGCCCCGAUAUAGAGAAUGCUUAACAGUGUGGUAGUGGUUGCUUUUCAAAUAACUUUUUGUGCUGAAAUGUAUACCAAUGAUAUUUUUUUAUUUUUUUUAAAAUUAUUUUUGACAUCAGCACAUCAAAACAAUUCAAAACGUACAAACCAUAUUAAAUUUUAGCAAAAAAAAAAAAUUGAAUUUUUUGGGAAUAUUCAUAAUUUUAAUACAGGGUCUCUUUCAAGCUCCUAAGAAUUUUAUCUUGCUCGUAUUUUAACUCAUGAGUUAUUUACAACUUUAUAUUUUAUCUUUUACGCAACUUAUUUUAUUAUAUUUAUUAUGUUCUUUACAAUUCCUAUGCUUAUUUAUCUUUACUAUUUUAUUUACAUGUUUAUCUUACUUUUAAUUUAUUUAUUACUCUUACUUUUAAAGCAACAUAAUGUUUUUAAAUCUAUAAACUCAAGACAAACAUGCUUAAAUCAACUAUGUUUAAAUUAAAAAAAAAAAAACUACUUACUUGUUAAAUCACUUUAAAAGAAUGAGUCUUACUUUUGUUGUUGUCGUCAAGGAUGAAUAAUUUGUUAUUAAAGCCUUAUUACUCAUUACUUAUGCAACUAAAAUAUAUGCAAUAUGUCUCUCAAGGUUCUAACACCACCAUUGUGGUUUAAAUGCACUUCUAAGCCAAGAUCUUUAAAUAAAAAAAAUAUAAAACUCAAAUAUGUUUCAACAAUAUGAAUCUAAACUCUAGAUUUAAAAGAAAAAUCAAAGCAUAAAAUGAAAAGAAAACACUAAAAAUAUGAGGUGAGAAAGAAAAUAAAAAUUUAAAAAGAAAUAUAGCUUUAAAAUUCUCAUUCACCUUUUUUUAAUGAAUUUUAAAAGUUAAAAUUUUGAAAAAUCAAUAAGAAUUAAUUUACAUCAUUAUCAAUUUUUAAUUGGUAAUCAUAAAUCAAUAAUUAAAUAUAAAAACAAGGUAUUGUUUAAGUAGAAAAAAUAAAAGUUUUUUAAAGUUAAUUUUUUAUUAAGUCAUAAUUUAUUUAAUUAAAACAAAUUUUCGCAAGGCAAUUAUUCAAGUGAAUACAUGUUGCUGAUGAUGGGCCAGUGACUGCAUCUUGGCUUACAAGUAGUGUGAAGUUUCCAUAGUCAGGAAUUUUGGACUGGUCAGUGCCAGAUAGUUGAAAAUUCUCACAGCUUGGAAUUCAUCGAUUACCAAUAAUUAUGGGCAUAGUUUUGAAACCUGAUCUGGUCAUUGACUCGAUUUAGUGACCGGAUCACGGGUCAGAUAGGUUAACCCGGGUCAACAAAAAAAAUACAGGCAUAUCAUUUGGAGAAUGAAAACAUUCUUGAUCAACAAAUACCAGCAAAACCCAAUUCAAAAUCAAAUAUUUUCUUCCCAUUUAAACUGAAAACUAACAAUCUAACAAAUACCAGCAAAACAUUCUCGAUCAACAAAUACCAGCAAAACCCAAUUCAAAAUCAAAUAUUUUCUUCCCAUUUAAACUAACAAUCUAAGUCUGAAAACUAACAAUCUAACAAAUACCAGCAAAACAUUCUUGAUUAUUCAGAUUUCUUUAUUAAAUAAAGCUCAAAAUAAUAUAAAAAAGAGUAGCAAAUUAAGUACCUUGAAACUGAAUCAGGAGAAGGUAAAUCAAUAGCAGCACCGCCGCCACUGCCUGACCUCUGUUGAUUCUGGGGAGUCAAAGUCUGCAUCUGCGUCUGAGGCUGUGGCUGUGGCUGCGGCGGCUUUCUAUAACAAACAGGAACCCCGUGGUCGGAUCUUUCAUCAUCAGAGAAAACCUGAUUCUGAUACUCACCAACAAUCAUUUGACCGCCAACAGGCACACUCGACACCGCAAUUCAAACAGGCAUCGGCGGCGGCGAUGACAGAGCCGCAAAUCCCUUAUCCUGCCUCUGCCCGACACGACCACCACCAACAGUCAUUUGAGCAAGUUGAUCCUUGAUCCCCACCACUUUCUGAUCUCUAACCCCACCACCAUCCUCCACGUGAACCCUUAUCGGAGGCAAAUUCACAAGCGAAGGCGAAGAAGAAGUCGAACCAAACGACGAUGUAGUCUCCAUUGGAACUGAAUGAACAUCUUGCUUUAAAAAUAAGUGAAUUAGCUAAAUUAUGAUACCUAAUUGAUUCAGUGCAUCAUUCAUCUCGUUGUUUUGGCCUUUUAGCCAAAACGACGUCGUGUGACCUUUAAACAUAUUAAAAAAAAAGGAGGUCGGGUCUCAGCCGGGUUUACCCGGGUCGGCCGGGUCCCGGGUUGACCCGCCGGGUCAACCGGGUUUCACCGGGCCAAUUCCCAGACGGGUUUUUGCUUAGACCCGGACCGGUCCCAUGCCCGGGUCGGCCGGGUCCCGGGACAACCUGUCGGGCCGGUCCGGGUUUCAAAACUAUGAUUAUGGGUGUUACUGAUUUAUCACAGAUUUAAUAUUGUAAUUAUUUUUCCUUGGUGCCUUUAAUUGGGAUUUUGACUAUAUUAGUGCUACUAUAUGUAUAUUUUUAAGUUGUAAAAAUAUUUUUAAAAACUUUUAAUUUUUUUUAAUUUUUUAAUUUUAAAUUAUAUUUUUUAUGUUUUCAAAUUAUUUUGAUAUGUAAAUAUUAAAAAUAAUUUAAAAAAUAAAAAAAAUAUUAUUAUAAUAUAUUUUUGAAUAAAAAGGAUUUUAUAAACUUAAUUUUGGAAGCACUGGUAUCUCAUUGAGUAGUUAGUGGUCUCAGGCUGAUGCGUAGAGCCGUCUCAAAGUCUUUCAAUCAUAGCUGUAUAAAGAUUAAAACCAUCAUCUUGAUUUUCAAGAUCUCUCUUAAUCCCACAGGACACAAAUCCAAGUGUCAAGUGGUAAUGAAAACCACCAUUCACAUUCUUGGCUUCUUCCCAAAUUCCAGAUCACUCUCCGUUGCCAAUUGCCAGCCAAACUGCUCUGUAUUUCGUACCUUCACCGUAUCAUCAAGAAAUGAAAUCAAAAGAAUCAACAGGAGGCCUCUCUUCUGAUAUUCUCUACGAUGCAGACCUCUUUCAAUGCGUUGAAAAUAGAGACGAAAAGAGAGGUUCCAUUGCCCGCUAGGGGAGACGAGGCUGUAUGCUUCAAUCAACUAUCUAAAAUUAAACAGAACUCAAAACAAAUCCAACGGAAAAGAGAAAUCUCAGUGCUUUCACAGCUAGAAGAAUAUGCUGGAACAGAAGAAUGUCAGCAACAAAUUGGUUUUGCACCAGUGAAAAGGAAUUGGGAAGGCAGAAAUUGUUUCAAAUGGGGCUAUAAAGGAAUGAUAGCAGAUUGAUAGAAGAUCAGAGUAAAAGAGACAAUUCCAGUUGACAAGAAAGACAGGCUCGUCUUUAAAAGUUAAAACUUUGGCAAUGAACAAUUGCAAACAGUGUUUCUGACAACAAUGAAGUUUAAAAAAAGCCAAAAACUUCAUCAGAGUAAAAGAGACAAUUCCAGUUGACAAGAAAGACAGGCUCGUCUUUAAAAGUUAAAACUUUGGCAAUGAACAAUUGCAAACAGUGUUUCUGACAAUAAUGAAGUUUCAAAAAAGCCAAAAACUUGUAAGGGAUUUAAAGCCUUUUAGAGGCCGUUUGGCACUGCGGCUGUGUUUUACAAUAAACGCAGGACUUUGAUGUUUGGUAAUCUCAAACUACACUUUUAUUUGGCAUGGGCCCCACACAAAAACUGAGGUUGGACCUCAGCUUGUGAAAAGCAACUCCCACCUGCUUUUCACUCCGUGUUCUCCUCUCACCGACGCUUUUUUUAUUGUAACAAAAAACUUUCCUUGCUCGAGUUAACAGCUCUGUUCCCCUCUCCUCUGUUAAACUUGAUUUGGACGAAGAUUGACGAACAGACACUCAAGCACUCAAGGUUUACAAUGGCCGUUGGACCAGGUAGUCUGAUGUGUCACGGGUCAUCAUGUUGAAAAUCCUUCUAUGGUGGGUCCUACACCUUAGUGUCUCUCUUGAUCCUUGAGGAACUAGGAUCGGUCUGUCAUAACAAACACAAGAGAAAGAGAGUUCGUUGCCUGUUAAGAUGAUGUUGUUUUUUGUGUAAGCAUAGAGACAGUAAUUCUCGAAGGGGUCGUCUUUUCUCUUUCUACUAGUUGACCAAAAGCUGUAUACACUACCAAAGUAUUAUCAUAACUUCUGUUUUUAUCCACCUAAAAAAUUUCUUUUUUUUUUAAUUCACGUAUAAUUGCAUUUAAACUUUAAUUUUGUAAAAACUAGAACAUGUUUAUAGACCUGUUUUUAUUUAUUUAUUUUAUAUAUAAAAAUUUAUUGUAUAAUAUUUUUAAAAUUUAUUUUUUAAAAAACCAUAACUAAAUUGUAGUUGCAUUAAUGACACUACAUAACUAUAUUAGAAGGCGAUCGCAAGAUGAUGAGGUUUUUUCCGAGUAUGAUCGCAAUUUCAAUUUCAUUUCAGAUGACUUUUUAUCUAAUAUUAUACCUCGCUUAGCUAUUCAAGGAUCACAGUGGCCUUUACGUAUAGAUUUUGUACGAGAUGAAAUUGAAAAUAGUUUGAUGGGACAAUGAAAAACUUUUAUUAAUGUACAAGGAUUAUUCAUUUUGUAUGUAAUCAUACUUCUAAAACAACAAUAUUUUGCAUAUAUAUAUAUAUAUAUAUAUAUAUAUAUAUAUAUAUAUAAAACCAUCAAUAUUAAUAUAUAUUUUUUAAAAUUAUUUUAUAAUCUCAAUUUCAAAAGCAUUCUUAACCAAACACAUUAAACUACUUUUUCUUCAACCUCAAUUUCAACCACAGUUUUAACCAAACUACUUUUUCAAACCAACCUCAACUAAAAGUACUUUUUAUAAAACAACUUUUUUUAAACCAUAACUACAACAGCUACCGCAAUACCAAACACACUCUUAAGGGGAAAAAACACAGCAGGCUAAAUGGUAGCACUUCACGUUCUACCAAUCCUUUCACUGUGAUGUUAAGCAGAAACAAGAGAGUACCACAUCAACCAGCAGAGUAGAUUAUGAAUUAUUUUAUCCUAAUCCAAAAACUAAACGAACCAAUCUCAUAAAAAUGUAGCUCAAUUUCAAAAAGAAAAAAGAAAAAAAACAAUUGAAGCCUCCUCUAUAAAGGGUCACAAGAUCCCCUAUCUCAUCCAUUUUGAUAUUAUAUGUAAACAAGGUUUUUUUUCUACUUGCUUUUUUUUCUAAAUUUGCGGGGUUUAAUUUUGGUCUCUUUACUUUUUGUAAUUUUUAUUUGGAUUCAAAAUUUUAUUUUAUUUAUUUUUAGUUCUAAUUAAAAAUUUAAAAAAAUCAUUAAAAAUUAGCGAAGAAAGAGAAAGUCAAUGAUUGAUCAAAAUCCAAUGAUGAAACAAGAGGUUCUUGGUAUCAACAAGUUUUAUUUGAUAAGAGAAGUUUUAUUUAGUUUUUUUUACCCUUUAUCUUGCAAUAUAUAUAUAUAUAUAUAUAUAUAUAUAUAUAUAUAUAUAUAUAAAGAUUGACAUGGAUUGUUUUUCAACUUGAUUUUGUAUUUUUUUUUACCAAUCUUGACGGGUUUUGAGUUGGAAGAUUGUUUUGUUUUUUUAGGUUAUUAGGGUGUUUAUUAGAUGUUUUUAGAUUAAAAUAGGUUGAAAAUCUUUUUUUUGUUUCAAAAAUCUCCAUCCUUGAUUUUUCAACCUUCUAUCUAGUAGUCGGAUUUUGAGUUUCUAAACGACGUGUUGUUAGAUUAUUUUGUUUUUUUAAAGGAGCUGACCAAAAAAAAGGGGCUAGGUAUGCAUAUCUGACCUUUUCAUUUUAUAGAUCAGUCGCAAUUGGCUCCCUAUGCCAAGUUUCCUAGCCUGUUUUUUUUUUUUUUCAACAUUUAGGUGUGAUUUUAUUAAAAGUUAAUUAAUUACAAAUAUAAUAUGUUUAUUAUAAAAAAAUAGCAAAUGAUUUUUUUUUUGGCUUUAGUGACUGUAUAGUUAAAUAAAAAUAGUUUUGAAAAACAAAGUUAUGAAACUCAGUCGAGUCCAUAACCUAAAUCAUAAGUUUCAGGUCAGCUCGGGUUGACACGCGUUGAUCCGAUAUGUCAUUGUCUCUAUAUUGAAAAAAAAAAAGAUUUCAUCGUGAAUGUUUUAAGUUAAAUCAAAUUUUUAUUGAUCAUUUGAGUUGUCUUUUGACCUGCUAAGCCGACCUGGUCAUAUCGAAUCAACCACCACGAGCUUAGGUUAGGUAAGGACUCAGGUUGGGAUGUUUCAAGGUUGAGUUGCUGUGCAAAAUUUGAUGAUGCUGCCAAAGAGUUCCUCGUGGCAAUGCACAAAUACGAUGUUAUUCUUGUGGGUUUUAAUAUAAUCACAUCAAAAUUAUUAGGAUGUUUUUUUUAAUUGAAACAUGCUUUUGUGAUAAUGAUAGAAUGUUGUCUAAAAACAAAUAUUCUAUAAACAAAUAAUUCAAAAUUGUAAUUUAAAGAAAAACUUUUUUUUUAUCAUAUUUAACAUACACCAAAUUGUGAGUUCACAAUUAAUAUUUUUCUUGUUGCUAGAAAACUCAUUAAUGAUACUUGCAUUUUAUUUUUAUGAUGUCGAGAAAAUUUUUUAUUCUGAUCCACAACAUAACACGAGUGAGGUAGCUAGUAUUUAUCUAUGUGGUGUUUAUUUGUCCACCACUAUAAGUAUAUGUAAUUCUUAUAGUCAUCAUUCAAACCAAUCAAACAAAUCAUAUCCUAACUUGUUAUCCUUUACCAGCUCUUUUACAAUUAAGUUGAACUUAUCUUGUAAUUUAAUUUUAACCAUCACUUUUAUUCCAUUUAAAAAUAAAACUUCAUCAAUAUUUAUGAUUAGUCUUUAAGAAAGUUGAACCUAUCAAUAACCACAUAAAUCAUUUUAUUAUUUGUCAAGAAAUGAAGGUGGCGAAUUUUGAGACAGACAAUUUGGUGCUAACAUAAGGUUAUAUUUGCUUAUUUUCACUUUUUAAAAAAAAUGUUGGUGAAAUAAUACAGUUGAAAAAAGAAUUGACCAAAUAGCAUAGUUUAUAGAUGUCGUUGAUUAGUACUUAAAAGUGCAUUUUUAUCAAGGUUUUAUAUCAUUAUUUUGCACUUGAAGUAUCAAUAACUCCUUAACUAAAGCAUGUUUUAUAAUAACGUAUCUAAUAAUAUAAGAUACCUUUAAUUUAUGGUAAAUGUUCAUCUUAAAUGCAGGCCUAUCACAUAAAUGAAAGAAUUGAGUUGAAGUACUGAAAUUGAAAGGACAAAGAGAUGGCCAAACUUAGAAAAGAGAUGUUGGUGCAGUCCAAACUGGAACAUUGUUCGGUAAUCGGGCUAUAUCUGGAGCUGUAGAUCUCGGAUUUAGGUCUACUUUAUAUGGAUGGAAAGGUAAGACAUAGGCCUACAACUUUCAUGCGAAGCCCAAGAUUUAAUAAGGCCGUUUUCAAGUCCAAAUUGUAGCAACAAUGAAGAAGCCUGAAUCUGUCCUGCAACCCAGACACUGUUCAGUGUUCAGCCCAUAUCUCGAGUUCUAGAAGUCCAAAUGAUCUCAAAUUUUUAUCCUGGAAAGAUGAGACAAUUCCCUAGAACUUUCAUGAUUUAAGUUUGUUCCAAUUAUGACGUCAUCAAUGACGUUUUUGGUAGACAAGAAGAUAAGAAUUGUCACCAAGUCAAGAUGUGGCCACCCACUCAUCAAUUAGUCAACAAAUCAAUAGUUCCGAAUUUUGGCCUAUAAAAGGAGGCAUUUGCCAUGUAUUGAGGCAUCUUGGUGUUCAGAUCAAGAUCAUGCUCUUGCUCUCUCUUUAUAUUUUGUAAUGCUUAAGUUUUGCUUAUAUUAAUUUCUUGCUUAUGCUUUUCAUUUCCUUUCCUUNNNNNNNNNNNNNNNNNNNNNNNNNNNNNNNNNNNNNNNNNNNNNNNNNNNNNNNNNNNNNNNNNNNNNNNNNNNNNNNNNNNNNNNNNNNNNNNNNNNNUUAUUUAUGUUUCUUUCCUUUCAUUAUGUGUUGCUAAGUUAAUAAUGUCAAGGUGAAAAGGGUACACUAAUGGUGUAAGAAUAAGUAUAAUAUAAACUUAACAUGGACCUUAAUGUUGGAUACUAACAUGCUUUAUAUUUGUUAUCUUGUUCACUUUUAAUACUUUGCUUAUUAAAUGGUUAAUCUAGAUUUAUGUUGUAUAACACUUGGUACAACAAAUACUUGGCACUUUCAUAGCCCAUACUGUAUGGUAUAACCGACACCUGAGCUAUGAAAGGAACUUGAUUUGUUGUUAACAUAAGUUAUAAUCAUGAAUGCAUGACAACAUUUACAAGUAUUAGCUUUAUUCGAAUAAGAUAACUAAUGUAAUCAUGUUAACAAUUUGUAAUCCGAUUGGAACCUCCUUUGUGUGUGGUUUCCAGUUGAGUAAUAAAAAGAGUUUAUACUAUACUUGUUUGAAAUACCAUUAGUGGAUCCUCUAACCUUGACAAUUGUUUUAUCCUUGUUUAAUCCUUACAUCAAUAUCACAUCUCAAAGCUCUCUUUAACUUAUUAUUGUUGUUAUUGUUGUUGUUGUUGUUAUCUAUAAUUUAUACAAUUAACCUCCCUGUGGUUCGACCCCGGUCUUGCCGGGUUAUUUAUUACUUCGACACUCCUGCACUUGGGAGAAGACAUCAAUCUUUUGGUCGUGUCAAGUUUUUGGCGCCGUUGCCGGGGAGGUAAAUUCUUGUACAAAUUAUAGUGUUUAUUUUAUUUUCUCUUUUUACUUUUCUUGUAUUUAACUUUGUUUCUUUUGUGUUGUUUCUUUUUCUAUUGUUUUUCUUUUCUUUCUUUUAUUCUCUUCCUGCACGUGCAUGAGAGUGUGGUCACGUACAUUAAGUGGUAGACUUUGUAGGGUAUCCUCAUCAUUUUCAGAAAAUAUGGCCGAAGAAGAUAACCAAUCGCUUCACAAUGAGAAUAAUGAGAAUAUUCGGGUUAGAACUCUUAGAGACCACAUGAAUCCCACAAGAACAAGUGCACCUUCAUGCAUAGUUUUUCCUCCUGAUGCAUCUCAUUUUAAUUUUAAGACAGGCAUUAUUCAACUUUUACCAUCUUUUCAUGGCUUAGAUUUAGAAAAUCCAUACUUGCAUUUAAAGGAAUUUGAGGAGGUUUGCAACACGUAUAAUGACUCAAAUUGUAGCAUGAACACCAUUAGAUUGAAGCUUUUUCCUUUUUCAUUAAAAGAUAAAGCUAAAACAUGGCUACAAAAUUUGAGACCUGGAUCCAUUCGUGCUUGGGAUGAAAUGCAACAACAAUUUUUAAAGAAGUUUUUUCCAUCUCACAGAACAAACUCUUUCAAAAGACAAAUCAUUACUUUCUCUCAAAAACCAGGAGAAACAUUUUAUCAAUGUUGGGAUAGGUAUCGAGACUUGCUUAAUACUUGCCCCCAUCAUGGUUUUGAAACAUGGAGAUUAGUUUCACAUUUUUAUGAAGGGUUAACUCCUAGAGAUAGGCAAAUGGUUGAAUUGAUGUGCAAUGGAACUUUUGAGGAUAAAGACCCUAAUGAAGCCAUGGAGUACCUAGACUUGCUCGCUGAAAAUACACAAAAUUGGGACACCACAGGUACUUAUGAGGCACCAAGUAAAACCCAACCUCAUACAUCUAGUGGGGGUAUGUACAACCUUAGGGAAGAUCAUGACCUCCAAGCCAAGUUUGCAUCUUUAGCUAAAAAAGUCGAAGCACUAGAAUUGAAAAAAAGUGGUCAAUUAAAAUCUGUUCAAGACAUUGCGUGUCAAAUUUAUGAAACCAACGAACAUUCAACUAAUGACUGUCCAACCUUGCCUUCUUUUAAAGAAUGUCUCCAUGAACAAGCCCAUGCAUUAAACAGUUUCCAAAGGCCUAAUCAUAACCCAUAUUCGCAAACAUAUAACCCUGGUUGGAGAAAUCAUCCAAAUUUCAGUUGGAAGAGUGAGAACAAUAAUGCUCAAACUUCACAGCCACCGUUUCAAGCACACCAUAAUUUCCAAAAUUCUCAUGGAUAUGCACCUCCUUAUGCUCCACCUCCUAGAAGAAAUCUUGAGGAAACAUUGCAUGCAUUUAUGGAAAAGCAAGAGGCAAUUAACACUCAACUUGCUCAAAGCAUGACAGAUUUUAAAGAUACUCUUGCAAAAUUGACAUCUGCUCUCAGUUUCCAAGAGAAAGGUAAGUUUCCAUCUCAACCACAACAAAAUCCCAAGGGGCAGUACCAUGCAAAUGCAAGUAGUUCGGGAAGCCAACACAUGGAUCACGUAAAAUCAGUCAUCACUCUUCGCAGUGGUAAGGUUAUUGAAAAACCCAUUCUUGAACCUUGUGAGAAUGAUGAUGAGUCAAUCUUUGAGGGUAAGGAAGAGGUUGAAUCUGAUCAUUGCAAGGAAAAGACUGAUUCUCCGCCAGCACUUCCAUUUCCUCAUGCCAUGACCAAACAAAGGAAAGUUAAUCACAACUCUGAAAUCUUUGAAACUUUCAAACAGGUAAGGAUCAAUAUACCUUUGCUGGAUGCUAUUAAACAGGUUCCUUCUUAUGCUAAAUUUUUGAAAGAUCUAUGCACUGUGAAGAGAAAACUGAAUGUGAAAAAGAAAGCCUUUUUAGCCGAACAAGUAAGUGCUAUUCUUCAGAACAAUAAUGCAUUGAAAUAUAAAGACCCUGGUUGUCCUACAAUUUCUUGCUUUAUUGGAGAACAUAAAAUUGAAAGAGCCUUACUUGAUCUUGGAGCUAGUGUGAAUUUACUUCCAUAUUCAGUUUUUUAAAGUCUCAAUCUAGGUGAGUUAAAACCAACUUCUGUGACUCUUUUACUUGCCGAUAGAUCUGUAAAAGUGCCUAGAGGAAUAGUUGAAGAUGUGUUAGUACAAGUCGAUAAAUUCAUUUACCCUGUAGAUUUUAUUGUCUUGGACACACAACCUGUUGAAGCAUGUAAUUCAUUUCCUGUUAUUUUAGGACGUCCAUUUCUUGCAACUUCUAAUGCAUUGAUUAAUUGUAGGAAUGGACUGAUGAAGCUAUCUUUUGGAAACAUGACAUUAGAGAUGAAUAUUUUCAACAUUUGCAAGCAACCUGGAGAUGAUAAUGAUUUACAAGAAGUAGAUUCUAUUGAAGAAUUAGUUUAUGAUCAACUUGAAUCUACUUUGAGUAAAAUUGAAUUAGAUGAACCUGAAGAUUUGCAAAUGAUUUAUUCUCAGGAAGAAAUCACGGAUGAAAAAGACACCGAAAAUGUUGAUGCGGAUCUUUUGUCAAAAGUGACAACAGAUUCGACAUCCGACAUCACACCAAUCGAUGAUUACUUUCCUGAUGAAUCCUUGCUUUCUCUUAGUUCAAUGCCUUGGUUUGCUAAAAAUAUCAAUUUUCUUGCUACAGGAGAUUUGCCAACUCAUUGGAGUACCGAAGACAAAGGUAAGUUUUUGAACGAAGUGAAGAAAUUUUAUUGGGAUGACCCUUACUUAUUCGAAUAUUGUCCUGAUCAAAUAUUUCAAAGAUGCAUUCCUGACAAUGAGGUAAGUAAUGUCAUUAAACUUUGUCAUUCUGAAGCAUGUGGGAGUCAUUUCUCGUCAAAAAAGACAGCUGCGAAAAUUUUACAAAAUGGAUUUUAUUGGCCCACCAUGUUCAAGGACACACAUGCAUUCUGCAAAACUUGUGAAAAUUGUCAAAAAGUUGAUACUGGUCAAAAAGUUUUGCUUUAUAAUUCUCAACUCCAUUUAUGUCCUGGAAAGCUAAGAUCAAGAUGGAGCGGUCCAUUUAUUGAGAAACAUGUGUAUCCUUAUGGGGCCUUUGAUAUUGAGAAUCUAAAGAAUGACAAUGUUUCUAAGGGAAAUGGACAUCGUUUGAAAGCUUACUUUGAUAAUUUUCCUAGUGAAAAUGAAUCCAUUGGUUUGAAUGAUCCUAUAGAUAAAGGUUGAUUAUUUUGUUUUUCUCACAUUGUUUUGUGUUUCUUUUUGGUGUGAAUUUUGUUUUGUUAGUCUCUCUCACCCCGAUCAAAUGGCGGAUAACGGUACUCCGUGACUUCAGUCGGUUCUUUCAGUUUCCCAUAAUAACUGAUAUCUGUAUAUAUUUGUGCAAUUCUUUGCUCUUUCUCCCUUCUUUGAAUCUCUUCUCCAAUUCUCAUUUGAAAAUGGACACCACUCUUGAAAAAUUGAAAAAGUACUUUCCCGCUUUGCCUCAGAAUGCGAUUACAAAAAUUUACCAUGCUAGGUGUGCAAGAUUGAGGUUGUUAAUGAAUCAUGGAAUUCCUGAAGAUAUUCGCUGGCUGAUUGAAGCAAAGAUCCGAUUAUCAGGUGAGUCCUCCAAUUCUUUCGUUUCACACAUGCCUGGAAUAGGUAAAAGCACUUUUGCAAAGAAACGUCGUGCAAAACGACUGAAAGUCUGUCACAGAUGUGCCAGAUGGACUUGUAAUGCAACAUGUCGUUCUUUAGGAAUGGUAUCUAUAAACCGUGAAGAUAAAAUACAAUUCAUUAAGGAUGGCCUGAGUAAGGGGUCUUUAGAUAAUCUUCUAUUAACCCUUGAGACGCAUCCUAGUGGAGAUGUGCAUCGUGCUAUUCAUGAUUUAUGGCCACAAUUCCAUAAAGAACAUGAUCGACUUAGUCUUGGGAAUCUGACUAAAAAAGACCCUGUUUGCCAGUUUUUAAGAAAACUAGAUGGGAAGCCUAUCCCCGACCCAUAGAGGGCGUUUAAGCCGUUCUUGGACGUAAAACCAAGGGAAGAUGUGAGCCACAAUCACAACUACCUGUACAUACACAUGCUUUUCAAAAUAAAUAAAUAAAUAAAUACAUAAAGAGAGAGAGAGAGUGUGAAACUCCAGCUGGCCUAUAUCUAGAUGAUAUGAUUGCAUUUUCAAAUCCUCAUCUAUAAAAUCUUCUCUUCCUUCCCCUCAUUUCUACUCAACCCUUACAUUAGACAGAUAUAGAAGUGUGUAGAAAUGGCAGGUCCCUCAAGUUAUCACAUAAAAAAUAUUUGUGUUUUCGGUGGAUCCAGUCCUGGGAAGGAAAUAGCUUUUUUGGAAGCAGCAAAUCAUCUUGGUCAGGUACUAGCUGAGAAAAAGAUUCAUUUAGUGUAUGGGGGAGGCAGCCUUGGGUUAAUGGGGGGUGUGGCAAUAGCUGCAUUUUUAGGAGGUAGUCAAGUUUUGGGGGUCGUCCCCGAAGCUUUAACAAAAGGGGACAUCAUUGGAAGAACAAUUGGAGAGGAACUACAGGUCUCCACAAUGUCUGAUCGAUUGAAUGCAAUGUUUAACCAUGCUGAUGCCUUCAUUGCCUUACCAGGUGGUUUGGGCACAUUGGAAGAGAUCUUUCAUAUUUCCUCUUGGGCCCAACUUCACAUUCACCAUAAACUUAUAGGUUUGCUCAAUGUUAAUGGUUUUUAUGAUAAUUUGUUGUCUUUUCUUGAUCAAGCUGUGGAACAGGAAUUUCUAACAUCUUCGGCACGACAACUCAUAAUCUCUGCUGCUACUGCUGAACAAUUGAUCGACAAACUACAAUCUUUCACCCCUGUAAUUGAUCCUUCCAUGAGUCGCAUAAAUUGGUCAACUACAGAAAGCCGUAAAAAGCUUAGAUUGGAUUUGAGCCUUCGUUUGUGAAUCCUUGUGUCUUUUGGUUUUAUUAUUAGCAUAUUAUUUUGUUUUGUUAUUUCUUAUAUUUGUUUAAGUGUGUUUCAGGUUUGUCAGUGUUCGUUAUUUCAGGUGAUGUCUUCUAUACUCUAUCUUUCUAUCUUAUGACAUUGAAGACAAUGUCUUGUUCUGGUUGGGGGGAGAGGGUAGUAGUUGACAUUAAAAAAAAAAAAAAAACUAACUUACUAACUGUUUUUGCUAUUAUUAAAACCAUUUGACAAAACUGUUAUUACUAGGAUGGCAGAGUAAGGGGAAAUUUUAGUGACUCUUGAGACGCAUCUUAGUAAACAUUUUCCAAUGGUUAUUUGCAAUACUCAUAACAAGGCCUAUUAGAAUACUUCUUGAAAUAUUCAGGUUUACAAACUCUCGCAUUGUUAUCACUUGAUUCUGCUCAUAUACUCAUUUAACAAGUAUUCUUAAACCUUCAUUUUCACACACACACUUUAACAUAUGAUUGUGGGUUGCACAUUGGAUUAUUACAUAUUUAUGUUCUUUUGUUAAAAGUAACAACUAAGGGAUAGGGAUAGUCUAUAAUUUAAAAAAAAAAAAAAAAAAACAACAACAAAAAUUGAUGAUAAUAAAAGCGUAGAUAAGUUUGGUUUCGUAGCCUCCCUAACCUAAGCAAUUAAGCCCGAAGGGGUGUUUUAAUACCUAAUACCCUAAAGUCAACUGACUUGGGAGCUAUUGGCCCAAAGCUUGUUACAUGGGUUAAGGAGAAAAGCUUAAGGGAAUCAAACAUUGCACUAUCUACGUAUCAGUAUCUGCAACCCGAGUUACUAAGCUCGUAGGGGUGUCUCAACACCUAAUGCCCUAAGACCAACUGGUCUGGGAGUCAUUAGCCGAAAGCUCGUUACAUGGGUUAAAGAUGCAUUGUGUUUUAAGUAUAUGUAUAUAUAUAUUGAAAAAAAAUACCAAAAAAAAAAAGAAAAAAAGAAAAAAAAAAGAAAAAAAAAAAAGAAGAUAAUAAUCCCAACCCAAGGAAGUUAACCUUAAACAUUAGAACAGAAUAUUGUUUUCUUCCAAUAAAAGCCCCAUCAUCUAUGUUUUCAUACAUUGAGCACAUAAAAAGGAAGGUUUAAUAAUAUUUUGUUUAAGAGGUAUUGAGCAGAUAUAUAAAAUUUAAUGAGAGUUUGUUUAUCUGGAUAGAUUAAUGGAAGUUGAAUGAUGAAUGUCUUGCUUUGUGAAAUUUGCAAAUAGUUUUUCUAUUUUAACGCUUUGAUUACUAGGGACUAGUAAUAAGCUGGUUGGGGGGUGUGAUUAGUACUUAAAAGUGCAUUUUUAUCAAGGUUUUAUAUCAUUAUUUUGCACUUGAAGUAUCAAUAACUCCUUAACUAAAGCAUGUUUUAUAAUAACGUAUCUAAUAAUAUAAGAUACCUUUAAUUUAUGGUAAAUGUUCAUCUUAAAUGCAGGCCUAUCACAUAAAUGAAAGAAUUGAUUGAUGAGUUGAAGUACUGAAAUUGAAAGGACAAAGAGAUGGCCAAACUUAGAAAAGAGAUGUUGGUGCAGUCCAAACUGGAACAUUGUUCGGUAAUCGGGCUAUAUCUGGAGCUGUAGAUCUCGGAUUUAGGUCUACUUUAUAUGGAUGGAAAGGUAAGACAUAGGCCUACAACUUUCAUGCGAAGCCCAAGAUUUAAUAAGGCCGUUUUCAAGUCCAAAUUGUAGCAACAAUGAAGAAGCCUGAAUCUGUCCUGCAACCCAGACACUGUUCAGUGUUCAGCCCAUAUCUCGAGUUCUAGAAGUCCAAAUGAUCUCAAAUUUUUAUCCUGGAAAGAUGAGACAAUUCCCUAGAACUUUCAUGAUUUAAGUUUGUUCCAAUUAUGACGUCAUCAAUGACGUUUUUGGCAGACAAGAAGAUAAGAAUUGUCACCAAGUCAAGAUGUGGCCACCCACUCAUCAAUUAGUCAACAAAUCAAUAGUUCCGAAUUUUGGCCUAUAAAAGGAGGCAUUUGCCAUGUAUUGAGGCAUCUUGGUGUUCAGAUCAAGAUCAUGCUCUUGCUCUCUCUUUAUAUUUUGUAAUGCUUAAGUUUUGCUUAUAUUAAUUUCUUGCUUAUGCUUUUCAUUUCCUUUCCUUGUUUAUUUAUGUUUCUUUCUUUCAUUAUGUGUUGCUAAGUUAAUAAUGUCAAGGUGAAAAGGGUACACUAAUGGUGUAAGAAUAAGUAUAAUAUAAACUUAACAUGGACCUUAAUGUUGGAUACUAACAUGCUUUAUAUUUGUUAUCUUGUUCACUUUUAAUACUUUGCUUAUUAAAUGGUUAAUCUAGAUUUAUGUUGUAUAACACUUGGUACAACAAAUACUUGGCACUUUCAUAGCCCAUACUGUAUGGUAUAACCGACACCUGAGCUAUGAAAGGAACUUGAUUUGUUGUUAACAUAAGUUAUAAUCAUGAAUGUAUGACAACAUUUACAAGUAUUAGCUUUAUUCGAAUAAGAUAACUAAUGUAAUCAUGUUAACAAUUUGUAAUCCGAUUGGAACCUCCUUUGUGUGUGGUUUCCAGUUGAGUAAUAAAAAGAGUUUAUACUAUACUUGUUUGAAAUACCAUUAGUGGAUCCUCUAACCUUGACAAUUGUUUUAUCCUUGUUUAAUCCUUACAUCAAUAUCACAUCUCAAAGCUCUCUUUAACUUAUUAUUGUUGUUAUUGUUGUUGUUGUUGUUAUCUAUAAUUUAUACAAUUAACCUCCCUGUGGUUCGACCCCGGUCUUGCCGGGUUAUUUAUUACUUCGACACUCCUGCACUUGGGAGAAGACAUCAAUCUUUUGGUCGUGUCAGUCGUGAUUGGAAAACAUUAUAUUUAUAUAUUGUUUUUAUUUAGAAUAAUGACAUCCAUAAAAAUUCAUUAAAUGAGAAGAAAAGAGUAGAGAGAAAAAGAAAGAACGAAAAAAGAAGAAGAAAAAGACCCUAGAGAUACACCAAAGUUUUAAUUAUGACACCACCGAUACCGUCAGAAAGAACUUGACGAAAUAAAUUCAAUAACACCAAUAAAGGUCACAAAAGGUGACCCAAGUGUGCCAUAUUUGCCGCCCAUAGGUGGUGGGUGGCUCACUCAUCUUUGGUAGCAAAUAUGGUUCACUCAGGUCACUAUUGAUGACUUUCUUUGAUGUUGUUGCAUUUGUUUUGUCGAGAUAUUUUUUAUGGUACUAGUGGUAUCGUAAUCGAAGUCUUAGAGUGUCUCCGAGGUCUUUUCUUUCUUCCUUUCAUCUAUCCUGUCUUUUGUCCAUUUAAUAUUUUUUUAUGUCUCUAUUUAGAAUAGCGAUAAACUAUAAAUAUCAUGUUUUUUCAAUCGUGGCAUGUACAAACUAUGCUAUUUUACUAACUUUUUUUCCAAUUGUGCUAUUCUGCCAAUAUUUUUAAUUUACUGUGCUAAUUUUUUAAAAAUAAAUCCUAGAAGAAGCCUAAUUUGAUUUGAUGGAAUGAAGAAACCAAUAAGUGUUGCUAAAAGGCAAAAUUUCAUGCACAAAUUCAUCAACAAUAAGAUUGGGAUCUCCAAGAAAUAACCCGAAAGCUUGAAGAAUUGGAGAGAUAGUUUCUCUAAACACAAGAAAAAUGUCAUUAAAACAAGUGAGUGUUUUGAAGGCUGUGAUCAAGGUUGUUAAAAUCGUGAUUUUAACACGGCACGGAAAGCUGCACACAAACUCGGAUCGUAAAAACGGAUCGUAAAAUCGUAAGGAAUUUUAAAAUACAUUAAAAAAAAAAUCAUGCUUCAAAUAAAAAUUUAUACAUAGUUCAAGCACCUUAAAAAACAUGUUUCAAAUAAAAAUUCAUACAUAUUUCAAGCCUUCAAAUAAAAAUUCAUACAUAGUUCAAACAUCUUAAAAUACAUGGUUCAAAUAAAAGUCAUACAUAAUUUAAAAUAACUUUUCAUUAACUAAUAAUUAUCAAACUUAAAACAAACAAUCUGCUGGUGUGUCAUGUAAACUAAAACCAGCUUCAUUCCCUUCAUCUUCCUUAUCAUUCCUCAAGCAUUCAUCAAUAUCAUUAGCAUCAAAAGGAUUAUUAGUAUCACUACUAGUACCAACACCAAUAUUAUGAACAUUAGUGCUACUACUAGUACCAACACCAAUAUCAUCAAUUUGAAUAUCCAAAUCAUCUUCAAUACCAUGACUCUCCAUUUCAACAUCAUUAGGAAUUUCUUCUUCAUCACUUUCAUCUUCAUCACCAUUUUGUCUUCGUGUUGCACUGUCAAUAGCACCAAGCAAAUCAAAGUUUGGAUGUUUUUCUCCCUCGGUUAUCCAAUCAUCAUCAGAUGAAAGAUCAUCUUCUAUACCAAAAUCACCAGCUUGCUUUUUGACUUGGUUAUCAUUCAAUUUCAGAUUGCACAUUACAAAUACCAAGUCAUUCAUUUUUUUCUGGUGCAAACGAUUUCUUCGUUUUGUAUGAACCUAAAUAAACAAUUCAAAUUUAUAAGAUUUUUAUCAAAUAUUUCAAUAUUUAAAAUAAAAAACAAAAAAAAAUUACCAUUUCAAAUGCACUCCAAUUACGCUCACAUCCAGAUGAAGUACAAGUCAAGCUUAGAACUCGGAUUGCAAAUCUUUGUAAUUCUGGACAUUCAUCCCCAUAAGAAUCCCACCAUUGAGCUGGAGUUUUUUUAUCUCUUGCUGUCUUGGCAGCGUCAAUGCCAAACAACCCUUUUGCAUCCUUGAAUGAUUCAAGUUGUAAGUCAAUUUUGCACCUUUCAUUUGCAUUAGGCACCAUCCUUUCUAAGCAUUGAUAUAAUCCAAUUUUAAUGUUGGCAUUAACCUUAAAAUUGGGAUUAUAAUGAUAAUGGGGAUUCAAAUAAUAAGCUGCUGCAUGUAAAGGUCUAUGGAGUUGAAGUUCCCAUCUUGUAUCAACAAUAUUCCAUAUAGGUAUAUAACUAUAAAAAAAAAAAACAAUAAAAAUAUCAUUACAAUAUAGGAAUAUCUCAAUUGAAAAACAUUCAUAUUAAUAGAUGACAACAUUUGAAAUAAAAAUUAGCAAGAUAUAUACCUUUUUUUCACAGAACCAAAAUUUACUUGUAUCUUCUCUUUUGCUUUAUCCAUUGCUUUAUAUAUAAAACCCAUAGCUGGUUUCUCAUCUGAAUCAACUAAUCGAAGCACUUUAAUUAGAGGAUAUGCUGCCUUAAUACAUAUAGUGACAUCAUGCCAAAACCUGUUGUCCAAAACACAAUUUUGAAUUCGUUUCCCUUCUUCUAUUCUUGCAAACCUACAUGAACUCCACUGGUUGGAAGUAAACAUAGUCAUCAGCUACAUUUUAUGAUCAUUCAAACAUCCUAGAGUCAAAUAUGCAGUAGCAAACCGAGUGGCAGUAGGCCUAAUCAAAUCCCUUCCUUUCGUAAAGUGCCUUAGCAUGGAAAUAAGAAUGGUUCUUGAAUAAAUAUAUGAGGUGAUUCUCCUCCCCUUAGCAAUAGUUACUUGAUGAACCUUUAACUUCUUCUCAAAAUCUUCUAAUAUCAAGUCAAUACAAUGGGCAGCACAUGAUGUCCACAAUGGGCAGCACAUGAUGUCCAAAACAAACUCUUUCUUUUUUCCAUUAAUAAUUGUCCCGCUGCCUUAUAAUUUGCAGCAUUAUCGGUGACUACUUGGACAACAUUUUCCUCCCCAAUCCUCUCCACAAUGGCAUCUAACAUCUCAAAUACCUUAUCAGCAGUCUUGGACAUAUUAGAAGUAUCCACCGAUGACAAAAAAACUGUCCCUUUAGGACUAUUAACCAAAAAGUUACAAAUACAACGUCUUUUUUUAUCUGUCCAUCCAUCAGACAUUAUUGAACAACCUGUUUUUUUCCAUUCUAGGUUGUACUCCUCAAGCAAUUUCAUUGUUUGAUCCACUUCUUGCUUCAAAUACUUCUCUCUAAUAUCAUAGUAGGAUGGAGGCUUGAAACCUGGCCCAUGCUUUGCAACCAUUUCAAGUGCCUUAAUAAACUCAGGGUUUUUUACACAAUUAAAUGGAAUUGCACUAGUGUAGAAAAACCUAGCAAUUUGUCGACAUGCUUCUUCUCUAAUAUCCUUUUUUAGCAAUUGAUUUAGAGUUGUUUGUGUACUUCCACUCCCACUAGCUACUCUCUUUCCUUUGUCCUUGGAGCUAAUUUCUUUUAUUUCAUCAUCAUCAUCAUCAUUUCCACUAUAUUGAAGGGCCUUUCUUUUCUUUUCAGCUGCCUCUAGAUUUUUCACUAAAACACCCAAAAUCAUCUGCUUAACAUUUUCUGGCACUUGUUGACAUGGCUCAACAUCCUUACGAGUGCAAGCCAAAUGCUGUUUGAAACGAAAUAUACCUCCACUAAUAAUUUUUUGACAAUACUUGCACAAAACUUUUCUAGAAUUUUUAUCAACAUCUAUACCAUGCUGCCAUCCCACAUCAAGCCUAUUACCAGAAGCAUUUUUUCUAGAUGCCAUAAGUUUAACAAUUCAAAGAUCAACUCAAUCAACCCUGUAAUCAAUCCAAACAUUUUAUGAUUAUAAUUAAUUUUAAUAUUAAACAUCCAGCUAUAAAAAAAAAACUAAUACUGCAUUCGGAAACUAAUACUGCAUUCAGAAACUAAUACUGAAUUCAUAAACAUUUUAGAUACUAAACAUCCAACUAUCAAAAAAGACUUACGUUUUUCUUCUCCAAAUAAUUUAUUUGUUGUUCACAAACUUUGUAGUGUUUUCCUCUCUGUCCCGUAAGCUCUGAAAAAUAAACAAACCAUUUUCAAAAUCAGAACCCAGUUUUCUCUCAAACCAUUCACAAUCACAGACUCACAGACUUUGUUUUCGAAAUCCAAACAGCAGCAUCAGCAGCAUUCAAUAAAAUCCAUUCAUCACAAAUUCACAAUUCACAACUCAGCAUCCAAAUCCAGUGCAAUAAAAAAUAGAGUCACACUCACACACACGCUACCUCUGUUCUGAAAUCCUCACUGUAAAGAAACUGUAAAGAUAUGAAGCUUACCUCUGUUCUGAGCAGUUACCACCGAGGCUGAGCAGAUGCAGCUCAAUAUUGCAGUCAAAGUUGGAGCCUGCGAAUCCAAUCAAACUAAUAUUAACAUCACUACAUCAGAGUAAGAAACGGAGAAACGGAAAAAAAGCACCCCUGGCACUGGAAAAAGAAGCACCCACGAACAGGGAAAAAGAACCAGUGGUUGUGGUGAAGACUUACCUGGUGAAGACUGGAGAAGACUGGAGAGACGCCGUUGUUGUUGUGUGGACUCUGGUUCUCACGGUGGCUGCUAAAAUGGACGACGUCGGUCGUCGAUUAUGGAAAAAUAAAAAAGAUCAGGGGCGACUGGCGAGGGCUGUUGUGGAGGUGGACGGUGGUUGAUUGCUGGCUGAGAGAAAGAGAUUAAGAGACCGAAAGUCCGAGACACCUAGUCAUAGAGGAAUCCUCAGUGAGGAUUUCGAAUUUUGGGUUUUCAAUUUAGGGAUUUCUGAACUUGAACAAUGAAUGUGAAGAGAAGAGAGAAGACUGAUUGAUUCGGUGAAGAGAGAUUAAUGAAUUGCAUUUGAUCUGGUAUAGCCAAUAGGCGGUCGACACGUGGCUCAUGAAUUGUAUUUAAUUUCCUGCGGGCAAAAUCGUUGAAUCGGCAGUGAAAUCGUGAUUUUAAGCGAUUUCACCCGAUUUUAACGAUUUUACCCAAUUUUGACCCGAUUUUACCCGGUUCCGAGUUUCGUAAACGAUUUAGCACGUAAAGCCUGAUUCAACUCGUAAAAACGUACGAUUUUACGAGUUGAAUCGUGAUUUUAACAACCUUGGCUGUGAUGGUCAUAACUUGUGAUAAAAAGACACCAGAGUUUGUUCUUCAAUUUAUGAAGGUAAAGAAAUGUCCAGAGAUGGUUUAUCCUUAUCUAAUAUUUGAGAAACCAUCAUAUUGGAAACAACAAAAAAGAAAUAUUGACAAGUUUUUUUUUUCUUUUUGUUUUUUGAAGUCAGUAUUGAUGAUAAAUUAGGAAGAGAAGUCUGAGAAUUAUAUUCAAUAAUCUUUCAAUGUGAGCAUCCUUUUUGGUUAUUGAGACCUCAUGAACUUAAAUGGUAUCAGUUUGGUUGUUACACAAGUUCAAUUCUUAUUCGACAUGUCUACUAAAUGCUUGUAACAAGUAAUGCGUUUCUUACAAUUCUCGUCAUGCAACAAUGGCAUAAUGAUUAUUUUUUUAUAUUUUAAAAGGAUUAAUUUAAAUACAUGAAAGCCAACAAAAUGGUCAUUUAAAGGAAAAAACAAUGAUAAAAAUAAGUAGGUUUGUUAACAACUUGUGGGUUUUUUUUUCUAGCAUUACUUGGAUAGUUUGGAAUAUGAGGGUCUUUUUUUCCAAUAAGUUAGUAUUAGUAUUCCCCCAUAUUCUCAUGAACUUAAUGGCGUCAAGAAUAGCUUUAUCCAUGUCCCAUGUCUAUCUAGCCAUGCUCUCAUGAUUUGAUCAUGUUUAUCCAUAACUAGUCAUGUUCAUAACCUCUAUAACCACCUAUUGUUAUGCUAUAAAUGCCACCCACAACACUGAUGCAACUUCCUCGGCCAACCGCUAGCCCUAUUAUUGCGAGGUUAGCUGUGUUUUUUUAUGACUUAGACUGUCUAUCAUCCUAGUUUAUAUUCGUGCUAGCAUGAACCCGUUACUCACAUGAAGUUUGCAGUGAACAAGGACUUACCAUUCCUAUCAUUAACUUGUUCUAAACCAUAUUAUGACUUUGUUCCUCUUUAGGGUCUUGCCUGUUUUCUAUAAAAUCCAUCAUCAACCUGUUUUGAACCUUGUUAUGACUUUGUUCAUCUUUAGAGUCUUAAUUGUUUUCUAUAAAAUCAAACUAAUGUGUUGAGACCAAUUUCAUGAUCUCUAGAAAACUGUAUACAACGCUUCUCAUCACACACAAAUAAUAAUCAUUCCCUUUUCAAUCCUGAAUGCUAAUUCAUUCAUUUGUAAGCUUGUAUUUUUUGAUGAAAUUCGGACACUUUCUAUAAACAUCCCAGUAUUCUAUCCCUUUGUUUAUAAACAAAACCAUACAGAGAUGAAUGAAUUAUAAACAUCUUAAUAUUCCACCCCUUUCUAUAAGCAUCCUAGUAUUUCAUCAUUUUCUUUAUAAACAAAACCAUAUAGAGAUUUGAAAAAACUCAAAUGAACCCUCAUAAGUUCAUUCAACUUUCCAAACUCGAUAUGCAACUUGUAAGUAUAGAAAAUAGACAAUAUUGUUGCUUGUGUCCAUCGUAUAACAACCGAUUUUGUUUCCUUCACCAAGGUAUGUUUCUUCACUAAGAUGCAUAAAACUCCCCCAAUUCUCCCUCGCUCAAGGUAGUAUGACCAAGCCAAAUCCCCCUUGAUCAGACUGACUCUUUUAUCGAAUCCCCUAAUUCAGCCACUUAACACAUGCAUUGGAUUUGUGUAUGUUAUUUCUUAACAUCAUCCUUCACUAAGAUAGCAUUGAGUUAUCCCUUUUUUGGGUAGUCCUUCACAAAAUGAUUUCCCUUACAAAUAAAAACACAUAAAUUUGAUAUUGAACCCUUACAUCUUGCCUUCACUUCUGACUGUCCAUUGCCAGCAAUACAUUUAGGUUCCUUUUCACCAAACUUCUUCUUUUUCUUCUACGUCUCUUCCUUUUCCUUAGGUUUAUAUGAUAAUUAUUUAUCUACUACAAUAAAUUUAACCCCAAAUUUAAUCACAUGAUAUUCCAUAUAUACUUGUUAUAUAUAGUGCAUGGAUUUUUAUUUUUCAAAAACUUUGGUAGAGAGUUUCUCCUAUUUAUUUCAUUACGAAGUUAUCGACUCAAUCAAAUUUUCACACCCUACAAAUAAAGAUUUCAACUUUUCUCAUCAUCCAAUAUUUUCACCAAUUUAGUGUCCCACCUUCCAAGACUUUCACAUUCUCAAUAUCAUCCAACAAUUAAUGUUUUUAGCAUCUUUAAUUUAUAAUUCAAGACAAAACUUUCAUUAUUAACAUUUUUCAAAGGAUAGAAUUAUUAUUAAAUAAAAUCGAAGUAUAGUUUAGCCUAUCUAAGGAUUUAAAGCAAACUCAUGUCAAGACAUAAUUUAAAUUAUCCUAGUUUAAAAAUAAUUAACAUUACAUCAUCCAAGAUGAUUUUAUAACAUUCUAAAUUAAAUCUAAAAUAUGACAUUUAAAACAUGUUUAGAUACAAUGAGCUAAAAAUUUGUUUCAUUACAAAAAUUAAUACAAAAGUGAAACUCCUAAAACAACGAUGGACCAAUAUGUUGCUGCAAGGUACUUGAAAUUUGUUUCAUAUAAAAUUUAUCACUCUUAAAAUAUAAUAUAAAAUAAAUAUGCAACACGUAAAAAUUCUUUAAUUUAACUUAAUUAAACAACCCUUGAUAAGCUUCACAUCUCUAGGAUACAAAUAAAUUUUAGUCCUCUCUUAGACACCUUUUCAUUAUCAAAUGAACUUUUAUCUAUGACUGAAACCAAGCUUAAACUUUAUAUCUAGUAUAGUUAUCCGUAUUUUCCUAAUCUGAGUGUUUGUCCCUAAAUUGAGAUAACUAGCUCAAUAUGCCUAAAUUAGGUGCUAGUCCCUAAAUCAGAAUAACUAGCUCAAGAUACUCAAACCGGGCGCUAGUCCCUAAACUAUGAUAACUAGCUCAACAUAUAUUAUUUGAAAAUAAGAAUUUUAAAUUAAACAAGAUUUCAAUAACAAACUUAACUUUAAUUAAGUAAAUUAAAAAGGAUAUGGUGUUUAAGACCAAUCUGGAACUUAUGCUUUGCUAGCCAUCCCUUGCUAAUGUAUGGUACCCGCGGUCUCACCUAUACCAACACGUACAUUGUAAAAACUUCAAAUCUCCAUACACACAAAAUCCACAUUUCCAUUCGACCAUCAUAACUAAGUUUUUAACUCAUUGAUAAGAACUUAUAAAUCUCUCUUUCUUUCUUUUUUCUGUCGUAAUUACGCAUAAAUUUGGGAAUAAUAUUCCAUUUCAAAUUUCCUUGAAAUUAAUAAUUUAUUCAUCUAUUAAUAAUUAAAUUAACAUGUUAAUAACCACAUUCAAUGGUAAAUUAACCAUUCUAAUUAAUGUUUAUUAUGUCUUAUAUCGCACGUGUGCGGCGUCGCGAUGAUCGUCCUCUCGGAUCAAGAUCAUUUCGGUGAUAGGGGAAAGAACUAGGAAUUCUUGUUUUUUAUUAGUAAAAAAAAAGAUGGAGUUGUCAUCUAAUAUUUUAAUAAUUAGAAACCCUAAUUAGUUUUAGAGUCUGAAUAAGGGGAUUGAUUCUUAUCAAUUUAAGACAAAUUAUUGUUUAUCAACUUAAAACCAAAUAACUCCAAACAUUCACACAAGUCUUACUAAUUUCAUAAAUUUAUAUUCAAAAUUCAGGCUAUUUCAAAUAAAUCAACAUCAAUCUAAGCACAACCCAUAGAUCAAGAUUUAAUGUUCAAAUCGACAUAAACUCAACCCUAAAUCAUGAACCAACAUUUAGUAUUCAAUUAGACAUCACAACCCUAAAAAUAAACUCGCAAUUCAACACAAAUUAUCAAACAAAAAACACAGAUGAAUUCAAAUCAAAUAAUGUCCAAACAGUCCAAAAAUAGACACAACAAUAAUCAUUUUGUCCCAAAAUUCACAAUGUUAUAGCAAUUUGUCCAAAAUAUAUUAUGAGUUUAUUAAUCGACCUUCUGAUAUGUUUAGCAUGUACAAAAAUUAACUAAAAUCAAGUUAAAAAGACUGUUAGAAUAGUGGUGACGCGUGUACCGCGUGCUAUCACUGAUUGAAAAGCUAAAAUUGGUAGAUUUAAAGUGGCUCCUUCACCUCUUCCUUUCCUUGCCGACAAUGCUCCUCUAUGUUCUCUAAGAAAGGAAAUUGAGGCACAUCAAACAUCGAUCUUCUGUUUCUUUUUCUUCCUUCUUUUUUUACUAUUUUGUUUCAUGUCUAUUGCCUUAUAAUUUUUCUUCUCAUUAUUGGUUACUUCAACAAUCAACAAUGGAGGGAAAAGUGCUAGUCCGUUGUGGCUUGGGCGAGAUGAGUGGUUGAGGGUCACAAUUGUGUGUGUUUUUAAGCAUAUAAUGUUUUGUAUUGCAUGCAAUUAAAGGGCAAUUAGAACAACAUAUAAAGUUUAGUCAUGCAAUUAAAAGAAAAUUAAAAUAAACUAAAAUAACAUUUUUUUUUUAUAACAACUCCUUAAUAAAUUUUACUUGUGUUAUCAACUCCUUAAUAAAUUUUCUUAUAAAAAUAUUCUAACAAAGUUUACUUGUGUUAUCAUUUGACCCGGUAUUUUCCCUAUAUUUCUUAAUUUUUUAAUAUGUAUAAUUAUUGUAAACUUUGUCAAACCAAGCCUAAUUAUCCAACAUUUAUUUUUCUUUACUAUAUUAUAGCUUUUAAAUUACAAAAAAAGCCUCUUAGUUUUAUAAUGUUAUAUUCACACUCCAUAAAAAAAAAUUCCAAAGUUUAUAACUUUACUUUGUAAUUGUGAUUCAUAAAGAUAAAAAAAUAAUUUUUAAUUAUUAAUUAAGAACUAGUGUUUGUCCCGUGCUACAUAUACGGGUGCUCUACUUAUUUGAGUUACGUUUGAUUCCUUUUCACUUGUCUUUUUUUUUUUUCCUUAUUCAAAAUUAAAGACAAAUUAAAACUCAAAAUGCAUAAUUUAUUUGAAGGGUUAUAGAGAGUAAGGUUGAAAGGUAAAAGAGAGUAAAGUAAAGUUACUAAUGAGAUAUAACCCAAAAGUUUUAUAAAUAGUUUUGAAAUUUAGUCCGGACCGACGGGUCGAUCCGGGACCCGGCUGACCAGAGGCUGGAAUCAGGCCGGGUUGAAGAAAAAAUAGGAAAAGAAAAAACUCAGUAUGACCCGGCGGGUUGACCCAGUGAACCGAUUGACCGGGCAAGACCCAGUAAAAGGACGUCGUUUUCAUUUUAAAAAAAGAGAGAAUUGACCUAGCGACCCGACGACCCAGUCAAAACCUGAUGACCCGGACAAAACCCGGAACCCGGACCUUGAACCGAGCCGGGUCUGAAAACUAUGGUUUUAUAAACCGAUAUGGAAAAAUAAAAUCCCUUAAUUCUUCUAUUUCUUAAAUUAAUUUCGUUCAACACUUAAUAAUUUGCAUUAUAAAAUAAAAAGCUCAUGUAGAAUGUUAAUUAGAAAAACUAAAUUCAAUUAAUAUAAAAAUAAAUUUGGUUAAUGUUCAUGUGGCGACCUUUUGAUUUCUAAAAUAAAUAAUCAAAACACAUGGCAAAAUCCAAUUAAAAAUUAAGAUAAUAUAUUCUUUUACUUUAAUGGAAAAAAUAUAACAUGCCAGAUAGGCAAGUAUCUCUUAAGGCUUGAUGAAUGAAAAGAAAAUGAGAUUAUAUUUAUGAAAUUUACGAUUAUGAUUACCAGGAUCUCAGAUGGAUUAUCAAAUUAAAAAAGGGACAGCAACUCAUUUUUAAGUGAAUGAUUGAGUUGUUUUAUUGUUUUAAAUUAAUUUCAUUUUUUUAUUCAUUUCAAUUGAUUAUAAAUAUAUUUUAUUUCUAUAUUUAUUCUAUUAUUACUUUUCAUUAAAUAUUAUAUUUUUAAUUAUUUUUUUAAAAAUUAUUGGUUAGAUUUGAUGGUACGAGUGUGCUUGGAAGUAUGGUUAUAAUUAUUUUUUAAAGUGUUUUUUAUUUAUAAAUAUAUUAAAAUAAUAUUUUUUUUUAAAAAAAUUAUUUUUGAUAUUAACACAUUAAAAUAAUCUAAAAAUAUCAAAAUAAUUUAAUUAAAAAUAAUAAAUUUUUAAUUUUUUUAAAAACACUUUUAAAAUUUAAAAUGUAAAAACAGCUCGAGCAUUGUUAAUUAUUUAUAAUUUACUGCUUUUGUCUUCGACUUUUAGACGUAGCAAAUAUAUAAAAUUAAUUAGUAUGUUAGGGUUCCUUGAUAUUUUAUGUAAAAAUAGUGCUAAACAUUAAGAAAAAAAAAGCAAUAUAAAAACUUUAAGAAUUUAGAUGUGUCAUUAAGAAUCAGGUUCUCUUCCUCCCCUCUGGUCUGGGCAUCAAAUUAUAUUUCAUAGUACUUAAAUUAAUCCCGAUCACCCCUAUCAAAACUCCCAGAAUUCCAUGGCAGAGAAACCUGAUCCAGUGAAAGUGUUAUACUGCCCAACAUGCUCUCUCCCUGCGGAGUAUUGUGAAUUCGGGUCUGAUUUCGAGAAAUGCAAACCUUGGCUCAUCAAAAACGCCCCUGAACUCUACCCUGAUCUCCUUAAAGGUAUGAACUUUUAUUUAUUUAUUUUUUUGUUUCAAUCUCGAAAACCCAGAAGACCUCUGCUUGUUUCCUGCUGUAAUGACUGAUUUUAAGACGCAAAGAAUUGAUCUUUUCAUUUUGGUUGGCAGAGGCUGACGAAAAGGAGGCUGGGAGGGUUUCGGAGCAACUGCACUCAGUUGGAAUUUCCUCAAUUGGUGCUGAUGGGUCAGCUUCUUCUGUUCACUCUGGUAACUUUUGUUUUUUACACUUACCCAGUAUGAGAUUUUAAUGGGUGUUUGUGUCGAGAAACAUUACACGGGGCAUGAUUACUUUUGUUCUCCAAAAUUUUACCUUUUUGUUCAUUGCCUUUUGGUUUCAGGAGAGACAUCAUCAUCUAAGCAAGAAGAAGUGAAAAGGCUUCCAGGUGGCAAAAUCAAGAAGAAAGUAAGGACCUGUUUGUGUGUCUUGGAAGCUUUUCAUUCUUUGAUAGCAUUGCAUUUGAGAUUGGCCAAACGCAUGUGAAAUUUCAAUUCAUAAAAUUAAAUUGUUUUAAUAAGUUAACUAGCAACCAUCAUCGACAUGCUUCCUCUGUAACUUGAUGAUGCUCAAUUUGCUUUAUUGCAUUUGAUCAUGUAUGUGGCACAUUUGCUUUCUGUCAUAUUUUCCACCUCCUCUGUAACUUGGAAUCCCAAAGUGGCUUGCAUUAGAGGUUUGCUUUUUGUUAUAUGAUGGCAAAGAUGUGUGGAUGAAGUGAAACUGUAAGAGCGAAGUGCUUAUAGAACACAUUUGUUGGAUGGUUUUUGUCUCAUUGAGGAAAAAUAUUAGUGACUAUUGGCCUUUUAGUUCACGAGAUGAUUUUGUGCUGGAUUUAAUUUUUAACUAAAAUUAUAAUGAUCUGGCAUUACUGCAUGGCAUUUUUAUUUCACUUUGCAUUAUUCCUAUAGGUAAGACAAGAAGUUGUAAUUGAAAAGGUUGUUCGCAACAAGCGCAAAAGUAUCACCAUUAUUAAAGGAUUGGACCUAUUUGGUAAGCCUGAUGCUGUGUUGGCUUCAAAUCAUUAUCUUGUGGUUUUUUGCGUUAAUUACUAAUUGCUAAAGUUACUAGUUGUAUCUCUUAUGAUGAAAUAUUUAUGUUCAGGUAUUAAAUUGAGUGAUGCUUCCAAAAAGCUUGGGAAGAAGUUUGCUACUGGAGCAUCUGUUGUUAAGGUGCACCAAAUGCCUCCUAUGAUUAACCAAAUUCAUCACUUUUUGUUCCUCUGAAUGAUAAAUUUUUUUAUUCCUUGUUCAUUUUCAGGGUCCAACAGAGAAGGAACAGAUUGAUGUUCAAGGAGACAUAGCUUACGAUAUCGUGGAAUUUAUCACAGAGACUUGGCCUGAUGUAAUUUCUUCUAGCAACCAUUUUCUACCUUGUCCUUAUCUCCUUCCUGACAUCCUUCUUAGUUGUCAUUCUUCUUUUAGACGUAGCAUGUUUUUGAAUUAUGAAUAUGAAAGAAGUCCAAAGUCAGUUGACCAAAGUUUUGAGUCAAAAGCUGAUUUGUGGGAGUUUAGUUAAUUUUAAAAGACCUUUAUUUUGAAACCUCAAGACAUUCAAAACUAUGGCUUUUAGAGCCAAUCCUGAAUAGAGAGCCAUGCACGCAUGCAAGUGGAGAAUUCACUCUUAAGUUUUGCGUUGUCUUGAAAGUUUAUUUUCUUGCUUUUGAGUUACAUGUGAUAGUCUUUGCUUUUGCCAACGUAGUUAUGGUUUGAUGAUGAUGCUGAAGAAAGAUUUCAAAUAUCCAAUUCUCUUGGUGAAAGAUUCAUGCUAGUCUGUACAAAGAUUACAGACUUGGCAAGAGUUUCCUUUUGCUCCUAUAAUGGUUCUGCUGCCUUUUGAUUCAUAAAUUAUGCUAUAGUAAUUAUGUUAUGAGUAGCAUGUGUUACAUUUACUAACGUGAAAAAUGGCCUGUUAUUCUUUAUUGGAUAUUUAUACAAGUAGAUCAUGUUCAUGUUAUGUGAUUUUUGUUCAUUCGAACAAUUUUACUGAUAUUUAUAAUUGUAUGAACAAAAAUGAUGUUUGAAAUUUACAAAAUCAAAAGUUGCUUAACUAAUGCCCAUGGCUUUGGUUGGUUUGAAAGCUUCUUGUGUGCUUCCAUUAUGAAUAUCGUCUGUCAAUUGUUAGUAGAAGUAUACUGCGUGUGCGUCACUAAUGAAUAAUGGGUUUUUGUUUUCACAGUAGAACUUCACUGUGUUCUUAAAAACAAUCUGUUUAAACUUUAAAUUGCCUUAUAAAUGUUUUGUAUCUCUCUUUCAUGCUUAACUGGCUUACAUUCCACUGUUUUUCCUUUCAGGUUCCUGAAACCGCCAUUUACUUCAUUGAAGAUGGGAAAAAGGUUCCAGCUGCUUGAUGUUUGCCUUUCCAAAUGAAACUCAGAUUGAUUUUUGAUUUUGAAAUGGCCCACUUGUAAGCGCCAUUGACAGAAUGGAACUUCUGAUAUCCCUUUUGUUUGGACGAGUUCUCACAAAAUCAAGUAUGUUUAGUAGGGGAAAAAAAUGCAAUGGAAGCAUGCAUCAAUGGAGCUGGAGCAUCGUGUAUCUCCAGUAGAUCCAUGAAUUUGUAUUGAGAUCUUUUUAUGUUUCUUUGUGUCGUGUUUGUUGAAUCUAACCUAUUAAAUUCAAAUGGAAUAGACAUGAUAUAGUGCAGAUAUUUUUAUUGAAAUCAGAGUAUUGAUUUUGUGGCAGCUAGUGUGAGUGCUGGCUGCUGAGCCACAUUUAAAACUUGAUGUUAAUGCUGAGAAGGAAAUUCUGACGUCUCAACUUUGUAGAGCCACCGGAAGAGUCCUAAAAAAUAAUUUCGUUUGAUGCAGGAUGCUUUGAUAGCGAAUCUGUAGCUGCGCGCACGCAUUUUGGGUUACCCCUUCAGCCAUGUCAACGAAGGUUGUCAUCAUGGAGAUUCUUCGUUCAAUGAUAAUAUAUCGAUCUUAUUGGAUGUGCCCUCAAGCGUCAAGCUGCCGGCAUUAGCUGCUGAGGACAUGCAUGAGUUCAUCUCAAACUGCUAUUAUAGUUAAUAGUAUGCUCCCUCCUUAAAAUUCUUUAAAAGAUUUAAAUCUGACAUGGAUGGUAUUUCUCUGACAAUUCUAAAAAAAAAAACCCUCGAAUCCACUAUUAUUAUAACUAGAAAAUCCACUAUUAUUAUAAUUAGAAAACUAGUUAGUGUGUUUUUUUAACACUUUGUACUUUAGGGUUUGUUUUCAUUUUAUUAUUGAUGAAUUUCUGUUUCUAUUAAAAUAAUAAAUUGAAGCUGAUAUUUUUUUUAAUAUUGAAACGAAAAUGACGAGAAAAUGAAAUAUUAUUCAAUUGAUCAAGGAAUCAAAAAUUGAGAAAAUGAGUAUCUAUAUAGUGACAUGUAGCCAGUAACCUCAUAAUUGAAUGUAUUAUAUAAUUUGCUGUAAAAACAGUGUUGAAAGUGACAAAUAUGAACUUAGACGUCAUGAAAGCUAGUGCGUGAUUCGAUAUGUAUACGAUGUAAUCGAUGUUAAAAGAAUUUUAGAUAAGCAUAUUGAUUUCUUUCCUUUAUGGAAACCACAUACAUGUAUUUUAUAGCUAGUUGCUAAAUCAUAAUGUUAUUUUGCUUACAAUGAUGAGCACGAAUAUUGUCAUAUAAGUUUAUGUAUUAUUGAACUUGAGUUGAAUGUGUUGAACAUCAGUGUUAAAAUUUUAAUAGACAUAACAAUUUCUUUUCCUUGUGAAAAAUCAUGGGCAUAAGUUUUCUUGAUGACUAAUAAUUCUCAUAAUGUUAUAUAUGUUGCAAGUCGAUAUCACGAAGUGGAUCAUAGCUGAUUGUGUCGUUUUACUGUUUAUAAUUAUGUUAGGUACUUACUUUAUGUAUUAUGAAUACUUAUAAUUAUGCUAAUAACUUCACAUGGAAAUGUACUAAAAUGAUAUAAGUGUACUUCUGACAUUUGAUAAUUGAGUCUUUUUUGUUGUGUAUAUCAUGGGUGUAUAUUCAUUUCACAUAUGUUUUUCUCUAAAUGAAAAAUGAAAAGAAUAUAAGAUGAAUUGUAAGAAGUGAUGAAAAAGAAUCGAAUUGAGAAAUAAUUAAACUGAUGGGUGGCUGAAAGUUAUUGCGUUUAUGUAAUAGAGUUAUUUGAUAACUUAAAGGAUUCUGCUACAAAUUUGGUAAGUUGUGGUAAGUUGUGCUACCCAAAUAAUUGAAUUGUGUUAUUAAGAAAAGAAUUGAGGAAAUGUAUAAGUUAUAGGGGAAAUUCUGCUAUAAAUUUGGUAACCUAAAGGAUCAAUAAUAAAAUGUAUUAUUUAGACAAAUUUAACCAAAAUAAAAUAAAAUAUUUACCCCAUUAUACUCAUACAAAAUGAUUAGAAAUGCAAAAGUUAUAUGGAAAUUUCGGAUUGUUACAAAUAUGGUCUUUGAUUUUUAUAUUAUUUUUUUGCUCUUUGAUUUUUUUUUAUUUUUUUUUGAACCCGUCAAGUCAAUUAAGUUACAUUAGAACAACUCCCACAUGAAUUCAUUAAAAAGCUGAAUUUGACAAAGACUCGAGUAAAUAGUUUUUAGGUUUGACUCGCUAGACCGGGUUUAAUGAUAAUGUUAAAAAAUUCCUUGUAGCUUGGAUAUUUUUUUUAAGUUUAAUUUUUUUUAAUCCAACCCGCAACACAGCGCCGAGACGUAAACUAAUAGUGCUAGCAUGAGUGAUUUUUUUCUAAUUAUAUUAUGUUAUUUUAGUUUAUUAUAAUUUAUAGAUAAUUUAAUAUAGAAUAAACUUUACAAGUUAUGAGAAAAAAAUAAAUUAAAACUCAUGAUUAGGUUAUAGAACAACUACUUUAAAAUGGAAAUAAUUUAUAAUUAUUAUUCUCAAAUCCAAGUCAAGUUAUGAAUUUGAUGAAGGUCCGAACCAUCGAAUUAACCCUCAAUACAAGAAUACUAAUUUUUGUAUUCUUGUAUUUUAAGUCUUCUUUCACCGAGCCAAAAAUCUUUUAUAAAAGCUAUUGUUUCUUUACUCCCAAGAUUGGAAUAAUAAAAGAAGCACAACAUUCCAUAUCUUGUAAAUAAUUAGGGAUCUCUCUCAACCGCUUCACCAAACAUUCACAAUGUUUAGUCAAUCCGCUUGUUCAUUUUGCCUUCUCAAAUAAGGCGAUAAACUUCUUCUUUUUUUAUUAAAUCAUAAUUCCAAUGAUACACGUGCUAAAUGCACAAAAGAUGCAGUGCAUUCACGUAAUUGAUCGGAAACACGGGUUAAUUUAUAUUUUUAAAAAAGUUAAUUUUUUUUAAUAAAAGUUAAUGUUUUAUAUGUAUUUUGGAUUGUUUCGAUACGCUAAUUUUAAAAUUAAUUUUUAAAAAAUAAAAAAAUAUCAUUUCAAUACUAAAAAAAACAUUAUGAAAAACAAUAGAAAACAAACUCUCAAACAAGUAGAUAUGAGUUCUUUGAAAUUAGAAUCUCAUAGAAAAACAAGUAGAAAUGCUCGAGCUCCUGAUUUCUCAACUCUUGCUUCUUAGUCACAAUUCAUUCGCCGUCAGAAAAUAAUAACAUCCAUCCAUCUUUUACGCUGUUAUUCUCAUCAUUGCUAAUAUGAUCUUGAGCUAUACUAUGUGAACCAAAAGUGUCGAGACCAGCCAUAAGGUCCAGAAAGAAUGUAUAUCCCAUAGAGAGAAUGCAACUUCUAAUCCUAAAUCAAAGCCAUUGUUAUUGACUUCUCUCAUGCUGCCCAUCUCUUCAAGGAAACCACUCCCACAAAAUGGGCAUUUAAUCUCAACUUUCAUUGAGGUCACCAUCUCAGUAAAUAUGUUUUGUAGCUAAUCGGUUGGUUACACGUAAUACUGAUUUUAUUUACGUAAAAUAUAUUUAUUAUUAAUAAAAGCUUUUCUUAUCUUUAAUAUUCAUUUAUAUUUGAUUAAGGAAUCUAAUGUUUAAUUAAUGAAUCUAGAGUUGUUAUAAUUAUACUUUGCAAAUGAAAUUAAAAAGUUGUUAUAAUUAUAAAAUGUUCUAUUAAAACUUGAUAUUAAUUAGAGUUGUUGAGACCAAUACAUAUUAUAUUCCUUACUGUAUGAAAGACAUCAACUUUUUUUAUAAACUGAAGUAUGAGGGAUACCUGAAAUUAAUAUGUAAGUGCUUGUCAAAUGACAUGCAUAUUAAACUGACUCGUAAGAGAAUUUCAUAUGGAGAACUCACUUAUGUCUAUGGAAAUGUUCACGUGAUAGUUGUGUAAGUGAUCUUUAGACUUGAGAUCAUUAAGUUAUCUUAUAUAGGAAGUGUUAUGUUUUGAUCCUAACUACACGUUAUAAUCAAGAGUAACAAACAUGUAGAUAUUAGGCAUAACAUAAACUAUAUGAAUGUAUUUGAGUAAUCAAGAGAGGAUUCAUCACCCUAGGUGUAUUAGAGAAAAUAUUUCAUCCGUUCUCAAAUCACUACCAGAAAUUCGCCUAAAACCAACGGAAUAAUUCUAUCGGUAUAUUGCGGUGAUAUAUACUGCUGGAUACUAUUCCGUCUGUAAUUAGGUAGGUAUGUAUCGGCGGAAUAAUACAGUCGGUAUAUACCGACGAAAUUACAGACAUAAUAUUUAUAUUUUUUUUUUAAAAAGGCGGUUCGCUGAUGUGGAAGUUUUUGCGGGCGAUUUUACCAAUGAAAUCACCAAGGGAUUCACCAAGAUCUCUGUACAGUGACAUGACUAAUUCACCAUUAGAAUUGCCAACGGAACCACCAACAGAAUGAGUCCGUCGGUGAUUCCAUCGGCAAAUGUUAAUAUAUCAUAACUCUGCUAACUGUCUCCCUCCGCUAUUUCUUCUUCUUCUUCUUCUUCCCCAUCCUAACUCUCCCCUCCCAAACUGCAAACAACCACCCCCACAAAAAAAUCCCCCUCUUCUCAACACAAGUCAUAUUUCUUUAAGUUUUGUGGUCACAACAUUCAUGUUCUGAUUUAUUGUGGAUUUUAUCAUUUUUUGUAAGUAAAUCUAUCUUUUUUAAUUUUAACAUUUAAACGUCAAUUUUAUUGUUUUUUUAGUAUAUGUAUUUUGUUAGUGUGUGUACAUGUUUUAUUGUUAUUUCUCAAACAAACUUGUAGUAUGAAUGUAUAAUUUUGUACUUGUUAUGGUUUGUUUUAGAUUUUGUAAAAUUAUAUUUGUUUGUAAAUUGUUGAAACUUUGUUGAAUUACCGAAUUACAUGUGUUGUGAUGAAAUAAUUAAUAGCUUGUUUAACGGGUCCAUUUUAAUUUUUAUCAAUGUUAUUGCGGAGUUGUAAUUUCCGUAAAUUUAUAUGUAUAAAUUUGUAUGGACAUUGAUAAUUGAUAAUGAAUAUUUAUGAGAAGUUUUAAUUAGUUUGUUGGAUAAUCUCGAGGUAAACCAAUAUUUUUGCAAAUUUAUUUACCUAACAUAGUUAAUUAAUGCAUGUUGUCAUCACAGUUUUAUAGAUGUUCGAUAGAAGUCAUGGAUGAUCGUUCAUAGAUGUAUCGAGAUUCACCCCAAGGAUUGCGGAGGAUGAAUUAUUGUAACGGGGUUCAGGGUUUUAUUAAUUUCACAACAUCUAUUCCGAGAAAUUUUACUGGAGGCAGUAUUAGGUGUCCAUAUAGGAAGUGUCAAAAUAAAAAGUAUCUGCAUCCAGAUGUUGUCAUGAUGCAUCUUCUAUACAAAGGGUUCAUGGAGGAUUACCCGUGUUGGUAUGCACACGAAGAACUAUUUGUUCGUAAUAAGAGCAUAAGAGAAAGGGUGGUUGGGUCAACUUUUAGUGCUAGCAACAUGUAUGGAGUUGCAAAUGACAAUAAUAAUCCUUACAGGAAUAUGAUUAUGGAUGCAAUGAGAAUGAAUCAAGGUAAUGUUAGUCAAUGCCCAAUAGUAGAAGAAGAACCUAAUGCAGAUGCAACUAGGUUUUCUGAUCUGUUGAAAGAUUCUAACGAACCAUUGUGGGAUGGCUGCACGAACCACAAUAAAUUAUCGGCCGUAGCACAGGCGUUCACCAUCAAGUCAGAUCAUGGGUUGAGUGAGGCCAGUUAUGACAAAAUUAUCGAAUGGACGAGAAGCAUUUUACCUGAAGGGAACAGGCUGAAAGAGAACUUAUAUGCUGCAAAGUCCAUGAUGAAACCCCUUAGUUUAGGAUACCAGAAAAUUGACACGUGCCCUAACUUCUACAUGUUAUACUACCUUGAAAAUGCUGAGUUGACCGAGUGCAUGACAUGUGGACAUUCCCAUUAGAAACCCAGAACUGGCAGGGGAAAGACUCUCGUGGCAUAUAAAAAACUUAGAUACUUCCCAAUCACACCUAGACUACAGAGGUUAUUCAUGUCACCAAGGACUGUUGAGCACAUGACAUGGCAACAAUCACAUGAUGUGGUUAAUGGAGUGAUGGUACAUCCUUCUGAUGGCGAAGCAUGGAAACAUUUUAACAGUGUGCAUCCUUAUUUUUCAGCUGAAUCAAGAAACAUGCGUCUUGGGUUGUGUACAGACAGAUUCAACCCAUUCGGGUCAUUUGCUGCUCCUUAUUCUUGUUGGCCGGUCAUACUCACGGUUUAUAACUUCCACCAAGGAUGUGUAUGAGGCCGGAGUUCAUGUUUUUAUCUAAUGCCAUACCCGGUCCGAGCAACUUGGGCCAGAAUAUAAAUGUUUGUCUUCGACCGUUGAUUAAUAAGUUAACGCAGUUGUGGUCCUUCAGAACUUUGACUUAUGAUAUAUCGAGGAAACAAAAUUUUGUUAUAAGGGUGGCUUUGAUGUGGACUAUCAAUGAUUUUCCAGCUUAUGAUAUGGUUUCUAGUUGGAGCACGCAUAGAAAACUAGCAUGUCCAUACUGCAUGGAAAACAACAAGGCAUUCAUGCUAACAAACGAAGGUAAAGCUUCUUUUUUUUACUAUCACCGUCGUUUUUUACCACCGAAUCACAGGUACAGAAAGAACAAAAAGAAUUUCUUUGUUGGAAAAGUUGAAAAGGAUGUUGCACCCCCGCGUCUUUCUAGUGAAGAAUUGCAUAAUGUUGUAUCAGAGUAUGAUGACAUUGUGUUUGGUCUUUAAUCAGGUAAGGAGAAGUUUCCUGGUUUUAAUUUGAUCCAUAAUUAGGUAAAGCGAAGUAUCUUUUGGGAGCUUCCUUAUUGGAAGACCAAUCUCUUUUUCCAUAACCUUGACGUCAUGCACAUAGAAAAGAACGUGUUUGAGAACAAUUUCAACAUCGUUAUGGAUGUGAAGGGGAAGACAAAGAACAAUAUCAAGGUUGGAUUGGAUAUAGCUUUAUUUUGUAACCGUAAAAAUAUGAAGUUGGUUUGUGAUAGGUCACAGGUCGCAAAACCAAGAGCAAGCUUCGUGUUAGAGAAAUAUGCACAACUACUAGUCUACAAAUGGCUUAAGAGUCUACGUUUUUUCAAUGGACAUGCUUCAAACAUAUCAAGGUUCGUUAAUAUGGAGGAAUGCAGAUUGUAUGGAAUGAAGAGUCAUGACUGUCACGUGUUUAUGCAAACACUCAUUCCAUUAGCUUAUCGUGAUUUGUUGCCAAAAGGGAUAUGAGAUGCACUCGCGGAGAUCGGUCAAUUCUUUAGAGAUAUAUGCUCCAGCAAGUUGAAUGUUGAUCACAUUGAGAGGCUUGAAACAAAUAUCGUUAAGAUACAAUGCAAACUUGAGAUGAUAUUCCCUUCAUUAUUUUUUGACUCAAUGGAGCAUCUCCAUAUACAUUUUGACUCAAUGGAGCAUCUCCCUAUACAUUUAGCGUUUAAGGCAAAAGUUGGAGGACCACUCUAGUAUAGAUUAUAAUGUAAUUCAUAUAUAAAAGUAUUUUCUUUGUUUUUCUUAAUUGAAAAUAUAUGAUUAAUUUAAUAUUCUUAAUUGAAAAUAUAUGAUUAAUUUAAUACAGGUACUUUUCAAUCUUAAGAAAAAGGUUAAGAACAAGGUGCAUAUUGAAGCUUCAACAUUUAUCUCGUACUAUUUCGAACCUUAUUUGAGAAUGAGAAUCAAUCGCGUUCCACGGCAUGAUGAUGGUGGUGAAGUGCCUUCUAGUGGGAACUUGUCAAUAUUCUCCAAUCCUGGACGACCCACACCUAAAAAUGCCGUAAGGGGAAGAUAUUUGUCGGAAAUAGAGUUCAGACAAGCACACAAUUAUGUUCUAUUUAACUGUGAUGAGCUGAGACCUUUUAUUCAGUAAGUAUAUGUACUACUAAUUAAACUUUGUUAAGAAUAUACUAUUUAUAUAUUGUAAUAUCAUAAACUCAUAUAAUUUGGAACAACCUUGCAGGCAACAUCGAUAAUAUUUACUGUCCAAUAACUCACAGCUGACCGAAUCUCAAAUCUUUCAAUUACAAGAUGAACAAUUUACCAUGUGGUUCAGAACACAUGUAAGUACUAUAACAAACUCAUUAUCUCUUGCAAAGAUACUGUAUGUCGUUACAAAAUUCUCGUUUACUAUUCAUGUUGUACAUUAUAUACAAAGUUUAUCAAAUGGGAAGGAGUGUUGCUAUGUUAUUGUCUUCACUAAGCCUGAGCCCUGAAAGAAAAGUUAAGUGCUACAAUGGGUAUUUUAUCAAUAGAUAAGUGUUCCAUACUGAAGAAUACGGGCAUGGAAGAAUGACAUAUAACAGUGGUGUUUGUGUUAAGGGAUCAACUUGUAGUGGUUAGAAGUUGACUACCAUGGUAGAUUAUAAGAGGUCAUCAAAUUGCAAUAUCAUAGCGAGCAGAAUUGAGUGUUUUUAUUUAAAUGCUAUUGGUAUGACACCACUGACAGAGGAAUCAAAAUAGAUCCUCACUAUGGUCUGGUUGAAAUUAAUCAAAAGCUAGACUCCACAACAUAAACGAUGUCUUUGUUUUUGCAAAGUAAUGCCAACAGCCAACAAGUUUAUUACACAUACACUCCUUUCUUUAGAAAGGAUCGAUCAAGAGUUAAUUGGUUAUUGGUUUUAAAAACAAAACCCAGGGGUCAUGUCGAGAUUGUUCAGGAUGAGAACGAAGACACAAGUGUGUGAGAUGAAGUCUUUCAAGUUAGUGAGUUGGUUGAAUCAUAUCGAGUUGCUCCUUCGAUUGACUAGGAAGAAAAUUCAAUUUUUUGUGUUUUUUAUGAUAGUCUUGUUGAUGUUGACGCAGAGGAGUUGAAUGUUAUUUUGAGCUCUAGCUGACAAGCAAAUGUCGAUGAAGAUGAUGAUGAUGAUAUCCAUAUUAAAAAUUGCGAUAGAGCUGAUGAUUAUUCAAUUGACGACGAAGAAGAAGAAAAUUCUGAUUAACUAUUAGAAUCAAGGAAAGUGUAAAGCACUUUUUUUAUAAUGUAAUAUAUAUUAUUGAUGAUAUUUUAUAAUACGAAAUAUUUAUUUUAUAAGUGUUAACUGUUAUUAUUGUUUUGUGCGAUGGGCAGUUUGUAAUUUAAGUGUUUGCAAGAAGAUAAAUAGGGAAUACAAACAUAAUCUUUCAUGCACAGUGCACAAUCACCGAGUUGAUACCGACGGAUACAGUCCGUCAGCAUUUUACAAAGAGUUGCAAAAAUAUUUACUGGAAAUUCCAUUAUCACUGACGUUUAUACUGACAGAUAUAGUACGUUGGCAUUUCACAGAGAGUUGUAUUUACUGGAAAUGCAACUAUAUCUGACAAAAUCUAUCCCCAACGGGUAGAGGCCGUCAGCAUUUGUCAGCUCAGUUCAUAAUUACUGACAAAAUCACCGACGGACAGUUCGAAUUCCAAAGGAUGUAUAAUUAAUGCCCGCGUGCAUUUUUAGACGGAAUGCAAAAAUUAUAGAGGGUAAUUAAAAAAAAAUUAGUGCGAAAUUCAAAAUUUGUCGACGGAUUUUUAAAAAUUCACCGACAGAAUAAUUAAAAAUAAUAUUAUUUAAAUUGUCCAUUGGGGAUUCCAUCGGUAAAACUGCGCUAUAAAUCCCUGCGACCAACCCUUCAGUUCAUUUUUCCUCUGCUUCGUUUCAUAGCUCUCGUUCUGUUUUUUUUCCUCUCAUUUGCUUCAAACUCUUGUUUUUUGCUUCAAAUCUCUAGUUAUAUCUUCAACAAAUUAAAAGGCAUGUAUUUCCAUUUAAUAUGCUUAAUGAUUUUAUUUUUUUAUAUUUUCUUUGUUCUAGUUAUUAUUAUUUUUGUUGUGUUUUUUGUUUUGGUGCAUUUUUAUAAUAUAGAUAAAGUCUUGAAAUAAACACAUUAUUAAGGUAAGCAUUUGUUAUUCCUAAAGUCUAUAGUUUUUUCUUUUAAUUUGUUGAAUAUAUUUUAUUGUUUGUAUUGCCAUAAUAAUUGAAUACUUUGUUGAAUUUUAAUUGUUAUUGUUGAAUUUAACUUGUAAUUAGUAAUUGAAUAUAUAGGAAUAAAUUUAAUUAUUUUAUCUCAAUUGUACUCUAUUAUUGCAUGAUAUUGUCAAUAUUUGCAGGUUUGAAAACUUUGGGUAGUCUCCAGUAUAGGGGAGGUGCUGCCGCAUUGUUUUUUAAGAAUCGAAUUUAAUCAUGUAAUUAUUCGUAUAAAAUUGUGUAGAUGUGUAGAACGAAAUCAACAGCUCGUCGCUCACAUAUGGUCACAGCUAGUUCUUCUAGCAGUGAGGAUGACAUGUCCUUAGGUGUCGAUCAAGAAGAGGCACCUACGCCAACUCGCGAUGCUGCCUCUUCUAGCGCGGUUUCACAGCACAAAGGCGGUGCGUCUUCAUAGCAGAAUCAAUUCACCCGCAAGUACAUGGCACAUUGGAAGGACGACCUUUCAAUAUAAGUUUGUUUCAGUUUUAGUUUUUUUUAAUUAUGACAUAAUUCAUUAACAACUAAUCAAUAUUUCAUUAACUUAAUUUAUUUUUCAGGUUCACAAACAUUAAGUUCGCCCGAGUAAUAUCAUUGGCGUUUAAAUCGUUGAUGGAGAUUCCAUUAUUUUAAUAGAGUCAGGUUUCCAGACAUCCUAAAUGGGGACCUAAUAUUGAUGCAUGGUUUGACAAAUUUGAGGUUGGUGUUAAUUUCUAAUUUCCAGCUUAUUUUUAAUAAAUUAUUAUUAUAAUUGUAAAAAAAAUUUAUUUUUAUUUUAAAUAAAUUAUUUAUACACAGCACAAAUUCGACUAGGACAGCGCGCUUGACAAUGUUGUGAGGAGGGUGUGGGAAAAUCACGCAGGAACUAGGUAACAUCGGAAACAAUACGAUACUUUUUUAAAAAAAAAUUAUGUUUUAAAAUCUAAUUUGUCACUAUGAAAGUAGGUUGCGUGAUUUUUGGUAUGAAGCACAAAAAAAAGCCACAGGGCGAGAGAUAACGGUCUCCAAGGCUGGAACGACAUGGUGAUUUGGAGGGAUUUCACACCGCUAUACAUCCCGGGAGAUAAAUGGCCAUAAUAUAUUGAGCACGUGAUGUCUGAGCGGUUCACACGACACUCACAGUCCGGUGCUGGCAACCGGAAUCGGCAAAUUAAUGGUUCGGUAACAACGCAUACCGGCAGCUUCGUUCCGUUUGCUGCACAUGCGAAACGGAUGGUAAAAGUAAUUUAAAUAAAAUAUAUCGUUAAUUAAUUUGUUGUUACUUAAUUAAAUUUUUUUCUUACGGGCUACGUCUCUUGGAUGUGAACCGAUCCCAAUGGAGUUGUUUAUAGAGACGCGCGUGUGAAGUGAAGUCCACCAAAAGGGGGGGCAACAGUUCGUUGACAACCGCGCUCAGCACUUUGUGGUAUGUUCGUUAAACCAAUUUAUUUCGUAAGUUAUUAUUUUUAUUGAAUUGAAUAUGAUGAUUUUUUUUCAUUUUCAGAAGACCUAUAAUAGCUGGUUGAGGGAGAGAUAUGGGGACGAUCCUUCGACCCAUUCAGAUUUGUGGAUGGAAGUAGGAUCGUCCGGUGGACCUGAUAAAAAUCAGGUGUACAGGCUCUCCAACACUCCGGCAGAUAAUUUGCGGGCGGCUCGUAGUGUCUCAACCGUUGGGAGUUCUAAUCUAAGAAGUUCGUGGCCUUGCAACAACACACGGCUCAUCUCACCGAAAAUAUGAGCGACUAUCAGCGAAUUACGAACAACACACUCAUCUCACCAAAAAAUACGAGCAACUCUCGGCGAAUUGUGAACAACUCCGCCAAAUGAUCAUGAACAUCACAUCAUAGAAGGAUGAUACACGUGCGCCCCUUUUUUGGCCGUAUGGUCCCGAGAACAACUGGCCUCCUCCUCCUCCUCCUCCUCC
rnacentral:lncRNA from 1 species